rnacentral:lncRNA from 1 species
UCGUCUGGUGGGGAUGCUCGGGAUGGACGGGCUCGGAGGUCAGCGCAUCAAAAUGCGGGACUGGAAUGCCGGACUGUGCGAGGGACUGCAGAAUGACAGACAUCUGACUCUGAAGAGUGGCCACUUGUGCUGUCAAAGCAGUGACCUGACUGUUUGACUGCGCUGAUGAACGGGGUCUGGGUUCCCUCCGCCUGGCAUUCCCCACCCCUCGACAAUAUGUCCCCGAUCUCCUCCCGAGAGUCUGAUCCAAUGCCUCCGUCAAGAUCUGAAACCCAGCAUCCUGUGGAGGAUCCACAGACUCGAUCGGAGUAUCAGGAGGAAGUUGGGAGGCGGACUCCUGAAGAACCAACUGGCUCUUCUCCACCAUCAUCGUCUGUUUAGCAUAACAUAAAAUAUAAAUUAAAACAUUCAUAUAAUAACCUUUAAACUUGAAUGCGUAACAUAAUAAUUAAAAUGAAAUAAUACUCACAUGAAGGACUCGGCCAAUUCAUUCCCAGGUCGAACAUAAACAUCGCCAAAGACGUCGAUCUCUGGGAAUUUGGACCCCCCCUAAAUUGAACAAGAGAAGAAAAAUAUUAGUACGAAAAUCAUUCUUUAUGAAUAAUUAAAAAUUAAAAAUUAAAUAAAAAUUCUUUUAUUAUUACCUGCCGACGUGCAUCCAUCCUAUAGGAGAAGGGCCUGGAACCGGAAUGAUGGAGAAGAGUCUUCUUCUUCCUAUUGCCCUUAUUGACUUUGGCUUUAUUCUGUUAUACAAAAAAUAAAACGUAUUAGUUGAAAUUGAAAUUAAAUAUAAAACAUUAAAAAAGAACAUUAAUAAGAAAAGUAUAAUAAAUUUGAAAUUAUAAAUUACCACAAAAGCGGGCGCCUGAAAAUGAGCGCAGAGCCACGCCCAACUAUCCUCCCGCCCCUCAAGCUCCUUCGGGCAACCCUCCUGAAGAGCGACUUCUGGAUCAUCAAACGCCUCAAAAUAGUGGUGCAAGGCGCUCUUCCACUGCUUGUACCUCUCAGAGAAGAGUCUGUUGAUGUAUGCCAACGACUCGUCGUCCAGGUCCUCCAAGUUAUAGUUCGUCUGCAAUAAAUUAAUUACAUACAUUUAAAUAAUAGAAAUAUAAAAUUUGAAAGAAAAAGAAUUAAAAGGCCUACAUACAGACAACUGGCCGCGAACCUCUGUCUUGGUCUCGUCAGGCAUCACCUUCCAAGACUUCCAUUUCAUCGGGCAAUGGCUCCGAAUGACAUGACCAAUGUCGUGGGCCAAGGAGCUAUGCAACUCUGCCGUCGGUGCAGCCCGAUGUCGCUCAUCGUAUCCAAUGUUGAUACGACUGUUGGUCACCCGGGUGACCUUCGCCGUCUUCAACUGCCGACACGGCCCUUGGGUGUUCUUCUUGACUGCAAAGAAAGAUGAUAUUAAUGUUAAAUAAAUAACAAAUUUAACUAUAAAAUACACACACAAAAAUAAAAACAAAAACAAAAACAAAAACAAAAAUUAAAAAAAAUUAUAAAUAACUGGAGUUUAAGGAUAUCUAUACCUGGCUGUGACCCCGACGCAUCAGUGGAUGUGGUGUCGGUGGUGCUGGCGGGCCGAUGAUGUCGUCUGGCGCUAACAGGCUGUGCCACUGAUGAAGCUGAUGAAGCAGGCGCCUGGGACCCUGCGGGACCAACUGCCAAGUGGUCCAUCAGUGGUGGCGCAGUGGCAGCAGAUGUCGGGUAAGCCGGGGGCUCCGAACUCUGCAUAGUCGUCACCGCCCUACGACGUCUAAUCAGGUCUGACAUCUGCACAAUUUCAUUAAUACACGUACAAAUUAAUAAAAUAUACGAAUAUUUGAAAGCACAUACAAUUUUAUUAAAAUUCUUGACCUAGGGUUUGCGAAUUCGGAGUAUCCGGGACUCCGAUCCACGAUCCGUCGAAUCCUAGACGAUCCUAGAAAUACAAGGUACACCAUACGUGAGUUUGAGUUUGAAACAACGGUCCGAACAUAACAAACUCGAAAAUCGCACAAUGGGCAAAAUCCGUUCAAGACUCAAACGGUAACCAAAUUCCAAUCCGAAAACACCUACGCGCUCGUGGAAAUAGGGGAUUGCACUGGGACCCAAUGCAGUGGUGCUACAGUACCCCACGCGCCACCACACGCACCGGCAGCGCGUGGGUGUCCAAAGCGAUACGAAUCGCCGAAAAUUUCUAAAAACUAAGGGCCAAUGUUCCUACCCUAGGUUCAAAACAUCAAUUGGAGCCACUUUUGUUCUCGGAUCUACCCCGAAAAAUGGCCAGAAGUGGCCGGAAUUUAAAUUCAAAAACCGGCCGAAACAUAGGGUUUUGAAAUCGACUGACCUAUUGCAACAAUUACAUAAAUCCUACCCAACCAUCAGCUAAAGCAUGUAAAAUAGGACAGAAACCAUACCUCAAUUGUCGGAUUUGGUCGCCGGAGGAGAGAGAACGACAGCGGCAGAGAUUCGAUGAAAACCGAGGAAAUUACGGCGGCUGGCUCGAUGGUGACAACGGGGAACCUCUGGGGUACUAGCGUUGUGGCGGCGUCGUCCAAACUGCACUGGGGUAGGGGCUGAGCUGACGGCGGAGAGAGAGAGAGAGAGAGAGAGAGAGAGAGAGAGAGAGAGAGAGAGAGAGAGAGAGAGAGUUAGGCAGAAAACUGAAGCUGGGGAAGAAGGAGGCUAUCGCGUCGUUUCUGCAAUUUUAUUCGAGUUUGCGCAACGAAGAACCAAAAGCAUCGCGCAAAAUAUUUUAACUGACACUUGCGCAACGACAUAAAUAUACCCUUCGUCGCGCAAUAUUGUAAAUCCCAAAUUUAGGCAUCACAGUGGGUUUUGCACGACGCACAGUCUAAUAUAUUCGUCGCGCAAUGUUGUCAAUCCGCCAAAAUUUUGGGACUUAAGGUUAAGCGGGAGAGAUUGAAAACUUUGCGCGACGCUUCCCUUUUUUAGUCGCGCAAUGUUGUCAAUCCGCCAAAAUUUUGGGACUUAGGGUUAAGCGGGAGAGAUUGAAAACUUUGCGCGACGCUUCCCUUUUUUAGUCGCGCAAUGUUGUCAAUCCGCCAAAAUUUUGGGACUUAUGGUUAAGCGGGAGAGAUUGAAAACUUUGCGCGACGCUUCCCUUUUUUCGUCGCGCAAUGUUGUCAAUCCGCCAAAAUUUUGGGACUUAGGGUUUAGCGGGCGAGUUUGAAAACUUUGUGCGGCGAAGAACACUAGUUUAGUCAUGCAAAUCCUGUUUCUGUAAACUCUCAAAAUUUUUUGGCUAAGUGUCCGAGGAGAAAAGGGGUGGCGGAGAUUGCGCGACGAAGAACACUAGUUUCGUCACGCAAAUCCUGUUUCUGUAAACUCUCAAAAUUUUUUGGCUAAGUGUCCGAGGAGAAAAGGGGUGGUUGAGAUUGCGCGACGAAGAACACUAGUUUCGUCGCGCAAAUCCUAUUUCUGUAAACUCUCAGAAUUUUUUGGCUAAGUGUCCGAGGAGAAAAGGGGUGGCUGAGAUUGCGCAACGAACACUAGUUUCGUCGCGCAAAUCCUAUUUCUGUAAACUCUCAGAAUUUUUUGGCUAAGUGUCCGAGGAGAAAAGGGGUGGCUGAGAUUGCGCAACGAAGAACACUAGUGUCGUCGCGCAAAUCCUGUUUCUGUAAACUCUCAGAAUUUUUUGGCUAAGUGUCCGAGGAGAAAAGCGGUGGCUGAGAUUGCGCGACGAAGAACACUAGUUUCGUCGCGCAAAUCCUGUUUCUGUAAACUCUCAGAAUUUUUUGGCUAAGUGUCCGAAGAGAAUGAGAUUGCGCGACGAAGUACACUAGUUUUGUCGCGCAAAUCCUGUUUCUGUAAAUUCUUAGAAUUUUUUGGCUAAGUGUCCGAGGAGAAAAGGGGUGGCUGAGAUUGCGGGACGAAAAGUUGAGAUGGCGCGACCAAGGAAAUCUGUUCGUCGCGCAAACUCUAAACCCUAAACCCUAAACCGCGGAAACCAUAAACCCGAAACUAGUUUUAAUGAUCCAACCGGCAAACUUAUUUUUUUAUAUUUCGAGAUCGUAUAUGCCCAAAAUCUGACAAAACAAACGUUAGAAAAUCAAGUAAUGGUACAAAACAUUUCGACGGUACAAAAUUUUUCGACGGUUCUAAAUGAAAAGUCAUGAUUUAACAUUUUAACUCCAAUUUUGAUGAUUUUUUACAGCUACUUUUCUUGACCCUAUAUGAAUACAAUUACUGAAUUUGAUCUUCAAUUUAAGAUGUUUACACUAGGGUGAUACCACAUAAUCUUAUGUUAUACUUAACGAAAGUAUAAGUAAACUAUUCAUUGUUGGUGAAUAUAUGAUUUUGAUGGCAUACGCAUUCUAUGAAAGUAGUUUCAAUAAUCCAGCCGUCAAACGUGUUUGUUUAUAUUUCGAGAUCUUAGGCCCCAAAAAUCAGGAAAAAAAAACAUUCAGAGAUCAAGUAUCGGGACAAAACUUUUGAACGGUUAUAAAUAAAAAGUCAUGAUCUAACGGUUAUUUUAACCCCGAUUUUGAUGAUUUUUUACAGCUACACUCCAUCACCCUAUAUGAAUACAAUGAACCAACUCGAUCGUCAAUUUCGAAUAUAUAUGUGUAUAUAACAUAUAUUAUAAAAGAAUAUAUAUUUGCACGACGAGUAACAUUGUUCGUCGCGCGACAGAUAAGGAUUUGUCGCGCAAUGUUUUACCUUUACGCGACGACUGCUCUCGGUCGCGCAAAUUUUGCGCAACGAGGGUUUCUUGGUAGCGCAAAAUUGCAUCGCGUGACGGAAAAUAAUUUGUCGCCCAAUUUUUUCACUCUGCGCGACGAGAUCUUCUUCGUCGCGCAAGAGUUUUCAUUUUUGAAAAAUGUUUGGUGUCAAUAAUUUUCAAACUUUGUAUGAAAAUGGUUUGGAUAUAUUUAUUUAUCAAUGUUUUAUAACAAAUGUUUUAUCAUUUUCAUUUUGUAAACGUGUUUUGUCAAAAAGAAAUUUAAAAAUUAAUAUUAAAAGGGUUUGGAUAUAUUGAUUUACCAAUGUUUUAUAACUAAAUUUAUUUUAAUAAUGUUUCAGGUGUCCACAUAUAUAAGGUUUGGAUAUAACAACUACAUAUAUUCAAACUUUUGUAUUACGCAAAGUCUGUACACUAGCAUAAUAAAAUUACAAAAAAUUUAAUUAUUCAUCAUCUGAAUUAUAGUAACUUUCGUUAUCGUCGCUAUCAUCACUUUUGGUCUCCCAAUCCUCCUCCUCCUCCUCUUCCUCUAUAACUACAUCAUCUGUGUUGCUCGGGCCCACUGCAACAUCGAAUCUUGGAAGAUCCCCGAGGUCAAUUGUAAUUGACUGAAUUGGUAUUUCGAUUGAAGACACUCCUUGUAUUUGAAACGGUUCUUGUAUAACAUGUGUAUCUUGAAGUGUUUCCGCAUCAUUUUCCAUUGAAGAUUCUAAACGUUGGUCAGCCACAUUGUGGACGUCGUUGUCAGUUGGGUUUAGUUCUGGUAUAGCAUACACAUUCUUAUGAUCCAUCUUCUGAACAACUUUCCAACUGCUCCCAGCUUUAGGGUCAUCUAGAUACACAAUUUGUGUUGCCAUGUUUGCCAAAAUGUAAGGGUCGUCAUCAUACCAAGUUCUGUUAAUUUCCAGACAGUAAGCCAUGGUUGAUUUUAACACUUCCCGGCCUAUUUGGGUUGCUAUCAAACCAUCGACACUUAAACAUGAUCACUUGGUAUCGAUCUUUGUAAAGCAAUUGAACGACAGUUGUGAGUUUGCCAUAAAAAUCAAUGUUCGUACUUUCGCCUCCACCUGGGACAUGGACACCGCUGUUUUGCGUACACAACUUGUCAUCUCGUGCAGCCCCCAAAAAUUUGACGCCGUUAAUAUAACAACCCGAAAAUAAUUCAACGCGAAUUGGGCCGAACGCCAAGUUAUAUAACUCAUCACUGUAAGUGGGGGAAUUCGAUGAUUUCAACUUAUUCACCUAAUAUAAUACAAAACCAUUCACAUGUUAGUCUGACAAAAUUAAAUACUACAAUUUAUAUUUGUCAAAUACAAAACACUUAUAACUUACAUAAUCCAAAAACUAUUGUGGAAACAAUUCACGGUGUUUCUGGGCAACUAAAUGUGAUGGAUGUUCUCGCGUCAUCAUCUCUUCAUACUCAUCUAAGUAUGCCAUUAUCUCAUCACAAUUGUUCAGUAUGAACCAAUGCGCUACCUCCAUGUCGUUUCUAGAAAACGACUCUCCUCGUCCAGGAUCUCCAAAGGGUCGUGCGCUUUGGGCAAAAACAGAAAGUUUUUCCUUUCUCAUACCUCAGUCGUUAUUGCGCUGAGGACGAUUGAAAGUACGCGACUCAUAUGAACCCACGCCUCUAUAAUUGAUCCUUCGGGCUUUGCCCUGUUGCGUACACUUUUUUUCAGCUCUCCGAGAAGCCUGUCAAAAUAAAACGAUAUGAUACAAAUUAGCAAGUCUAUGAUAAUAAUGCAUACACAAACGAUAAGGAUUAUAUACCUUUCUAUUGGAUACAUCUAGCGAUAGUUGACAGGACCAGCAAGCAAUGCCUCUUCUGACAAGUGAACCAUCACGUGCAUCAUACUUGUGAAGAAAGCUGGAGGAAAUAUCAUCUCAAACUUGCAUAGGACUUGGACAAUGUCAUGGCGCAACUGAAACAUGUCUGUCUUUCUCAAUGUUUUUGCCGUCAGUUGGGAAAAAAAUCUAGACAACAACAUGAUUGGCUUCACAACAUCUUCCGGCAAUAGAUGUCGAAUACCCACAGGAUGUAGGCGUUGCAUAAACACAUGGCAGUCAUAGCUCUUCAGUCCAGUAAAUUUACCCCCGUCAACAUUCACGCAACGUGCGAUAUUAGAAGCAUACCCAUCAGGAAACUUUACAGACGAAACAAACUUUAGAAACUCUUUUUUGUCAUUUGGUUUCAUAGAAAAGAAUGCAAGAUCCCUUCUAGCUUUAUCACUGUCCCUGUUCAUCCAUAAACCUCUUCGUAUGCCCAUUCUUUCCAAAUCAAGACGGGCUUUGAUUGUGUCCUUUGUCUUGCCCUCGAUAUCUAGAAUCGUGCCCACCAAUGUGUCAAAUACAUUUUUCUCAACAUGCAUCACAUCUAGAUUGUGCCUCAAUUUGAGUUUCGACCAAUAUGGGAGCUCAAAAAACAUAGGCUUGUGAGUCCAGUUCAUAUGUGUAGAAGGUCUGGUCCGACUAACUGUUUUUCUGAACGGAGCAAAAUCCAAACGGUUAAGCUGUUCCAAGAUCUCAUCACCGGACCAUUCUGUAGGUCUGAGGCGACGCUCUGUGUUCCCGUCGAACUCUUUAUCUUUUUCCCGCCACUCGUGGUCCCAUGGCAACCAUCUCCGAUGACCAAGGUAACAAACUUUUCCCGCAUGCCAACCAGAAGUUACAUCUUCCUUGCAUAUAGGACAUGCCAUAUAACCCUUUGUGCUCUACCCAGAAACCAUUGCAUAUGCUGGAAAAUCAUUCACAGUCCACAUAUCUGCUGCCCGCAAAGUAAACAUCUUCCCAGUUGAUUUAUCGUACGUGCGAACACCGUUUGUCCAUAAAUCCUUCAGCUCAUCAACCAGCGGCCUUAAGUAAACAUCGAUUGACCUCCCAGGAUCUUCAGUUAUCAAAACAGUCAUCAUCAUGUAUUCUUUUUUCAUGCAUUUCCAAGGCGGCAAAUUAUAUGGGAAUACGAAAAUCGGCCAAGUGCUGUGGUGUUGGUUUAGAACCCAAUAUGGAUUGAAUCCGUCAGUGGCAAGUCCCAAUCUCGCAUUUCGGGGAUCAGCAGCAAACUCGGGGAACGUUCGAUCGAACUCUUUCCAUGCCUCCUUAUCUGCAGGAUGCCGCAUCACAUCAUCGUCUACCCGUUUUUCCUUAUGCCUUCUCAUGUCUGUAGCAGUAUGCGUCGACAUAUACAAUCGCUGCAACCUAGGUUUCAGGGGCAGAUAACGCAUGACUUUUUGUGGGAUCUUAGUCAUUCUAUUCUGAGAUGUCAUUUUGAACCUCGACUCAUUGCAUAUAGGGCAUGUCUCCAACGUUUCAUGCUCCUUGUAGAAUAACAUGCAAUUAUUUUUGCAAGCAUGAAUUUUUUCAUAACCCAAUCCAAGACCAUUCAACACCUUCUGCGCGUGUUUAUGGUCUUUCGGCAAACAAUUGUCUGUCGGAAGCAUUCUCUUGAAAACUCCCAAAAAGUAAUCGAAACACAGGUUCGACAUACGAUACUUUAUUUUUCCGUGCAUUAGCUCUACAAUGGCCGUGAGAACGGAAAAGCUCUCGCACCCCGGGUAUAGCUCUUGGUUGGCAUUUUUUAACAGUUUUUCAUAUUGUUCAAACUCCGCGCUGUCUAUUGGUGUAGGCACGUCAUCUUCCCCUUCGUGAUUGAUGUUGGUUGAUGCAAAUGGAAAAGCAUCCUGUAUGAUAUCCAUGACUUGAUCAUUAGGAUCCACAAUAGGUUCAACACUGUCCAUUCUUGUGGCAUUUGAAGAUGAAGCAUGGUCUAAUUGUUCCCCAUGAAGGUUCCAAAUGCUAUAUGUCUCAAUCAUUCCAUUCCUUACUAAAUGAAAUCCAACAUUUUCAAUUGUCUCCCACAACGUGUUAUUACACCUCCUACAAGGACAUCGGAUUCUAGUUGCACCCGGGUUGUGUCUACGUGCAAACUCAAUAAAAUCCUCGAUCCCAAGAAGGUGAUGACUGGUCCAAUGUACAUUCUUUUUGUUCCAGAUAUUACUGUGGAAGGGAUUUGCGUUUUCUUUGCAAGUGAAAGAAAAUGCAGAAUUUGGUUCCAGGUAAUGUGUAAAGUUUCUUUUGCUAAAACAAGAAAAAGAAAAGAAAAGAAUAAAAUAAUUUGGCUUCCGGCAACGUGUAGAAUUCAAUUCAUGGUUGCGGUCCUUUCCUUUGCAAUUUGCAGGAUUUAUGUCAAGUAUAAAAUAAAUAAAAUAUAAAAAAAAUAAUUAUUUAAAAAAAAAAGAAAGGAAAAUUCAUCUUAAAUAGUUCCUGUCAACGUGGGUGGGAAAAACAAUUGAAGAAAAGUUUAAAUAAAAAACUUUUAAGAUGCGCCAAACACCCCUCCCACUGCUAAUUGUUUAUCCACAGCACUCGAUUGAUUAGUCCGAACAAAUGCGUCAUGGCUCCGUCUUGCUCCAUCAUCCGGCCGUGCGUCAUGGCUCCGUCCUGCCCCAUUAUCAGUUCCCCCAGAAAAAUUCAGAUAUGGUUCCACUGCUAAUUGUUCAUGUAUAACACUGCCCCUGAAAAAUGCGUCAUCAACUCCCCCUGAAAAAUUCUGAUUUGUUUCCAAAUCAUACGAAUGAGGAUCCGGAUUAUCCAUAUUUUCCUUCAUGACUUUGUCCCAUUCUAAAUGAACCCCUGUCUUCUUCACUCUCACAAAAUCAACAUCAUGAGGCUUUACAAGAAUCGAUACGUGGUCACCGCCUUCCAAAUGGAGCACAUCGUUUGACAAUUGUCCUUGCCAAAGAUAAUGGUCUUCAGGUUCAUUUGACAAUUGUCUCUGCCAAAGAUAAUGGUCCUCAGGUCUCCACCAACGGAAAUGGUCUUCAAGUUCACUGUAAGUUUUUAAGGAGGCAAAUGCUAUCUUGGUGUGCAAAGCAGUUUGUUUGGUAAGAUUUCUAACGAUAACGCCAAUAGGACCUUCAGAAUCUUCAAGUUUUGGGCCAAAAACAGAAUAAGAGUAAACGAAGCAUAUAGUCAACCCUUUUAAAUCAAGACCCAUGGUUUUUUGAGGAACUUCAAAGAAGACGAUACCAUCCACAUCAUUGACGAUUUUGAACCACUCAGGAAUAUCAUAAAUUCCGUUCAAAUAAAUUCCACCAAAUCCGCAAGAAGUCCAUCUCUGCACACCAGAAGCAAUACAUUCUCAUACAUGCAUGCAUAUAUCAUUACACGGGCAGUCAGAUUGUGUGUGUGUGUCUGUGUGUGUCUGUGUGUGUGUGAGAGAGAGAGAGAGAGAGAGAGAGAGAGAGAGAAACAGACAGACCGACCGACCGACCUGUAGGAUGUUGUUCCUAAAAUCGGCAGUCAGAUUGGUGCAGCCUUCCAUAUGAAUCCUUGUCAUGGAGUUUAAUGACUUAUCCAAGCCUGGAACCUCAGUGAGUUUGAACGAAUCAUUUAGAUACAAUUCUCUCAUAUUCGACAUUUUUGAAAAAUCUGGAAUUGUUUCCAAUUCUGGGCAGUCAUUUGCUUUCAGAACAUACAAGUUGGUUGGUAAAUCUGGGAUAGCACGAAGUCUUCUGCAUGCAUUUAAACACAAGACCUUGAGCUUUGAAAGACCAGCGAGGCUUGGCAGGCUACAAAAGUGAUUGUCUCCAAGAAGCAGAUGUUCUAAGGAAAUUAGGCUACAUAGAUCCUUAGGGAUUCCAUCCUCAGUUAACAAGUAGCAGCCUGCAAGACAUAACGCUAUUAAAGAGUUUAAGCCAUGUAAGGAAAGGGGUAAAAGAUGGAAUUUCAAAAUUCUCACCAGAUAGAGAUAAAAUUCUCAAGUUCUUCAAUUUUACUAUGGAAGAUGGAAUUUGUCUGAUGCGCGUGUUAUCUGCUUGCAAAAUUGUCAAUGAUACCAUGUCCCCUAAGCCAUCAGCCAAGUUUUCAAAUCUCCAACAACCAUCAAGUAUAAGAGUUUCAAUAGACUUGGAUUUAUAGAAAUUCAGUGGGAGAUCCCCUAGACAGGUGCAGCCUUCAAGAUUUACCAAAGAAAGUCUUCCAAGAUGCCCGAUGGAUGAGUGUGUUGAUGUGUAACCCUUUGAGCUGAGCCAAAAAUCCCCUUUGCCGCCUAAUUCCAUUUCAUUUAAAUGUUUCUGUUGUUUAGAUUUUUUGUUUUUAAAAAAAAAAAAAAAAAAAAACUUUAGUUUUCUGCUGCUUGUAAUAAGGACCCUUGGAUUAGAGUCCAAGUGGCUCUUUAAGUGAGGGUUUAGAUUGAGACAAGUGUAAUCAUCUUAUAGGAUGAUAGUUCAAUGGCUAGGAUUGAGUUUUGUAUUGAGGCAGUUAGAGAAGAAUCUCUCUUCUCUCUCCUCAACGGAUAUAUCUCUUUUUGGCAUGUAAUGAAAUACAGCUGACUUCAUUCAUUCAAUUUUUCUGUUCUUUCACAGAGAGCAACGUUCUCUCAUUUCUCUCCCAAACACAUCCAAAAUCUAUGAAUUCUAUCAUGGCCUCAGAGCCAGGUUCGAUUGAUUGAGCUGGGCGUGAUCUGUGAACAGAAAAUCGAGCUCGAUCUGAGCUAUCGUUGAGCUGAUUUGGAGAUCGAAGUAGCGAAUUCUUGCAUCAAGAUGUCUCAUAUGGCAGGAUCUGGAGCAGCUGAGCUUCGAACACCAGUUUUUAAUGGAGAAAACUACGAAUUCUGGAGUAUUCGAAUGAAAACUAUUUUGAAAUCGCACGGUUUGUGGGAUCUGGUCGAGAAUGGGCUAGAUGACUCAGGCAUGAAGAAAGAAAAAGAAGAGGCUGCAGAAACUGAGAAGUCCAUGGUGGCUCAGAUUCUGAUGAAGGAUGCUCGUGCACUUGGAUUAAUCCAAAGUGCAGUUUCAGAUCAGCUAUUUCCAAGGAUUGUGAAUGAGGAGACCUCGAAGGGAGCUUGGGAUAUAUUGAAACUGGAAUUCAGAGGAGAUAAACAGGUACGAAAUGUUAAAUUGCAAGGGUUGCGUAGGGAAUUUGAAUAUGCUCGCAUGAAGGAUAGUGAAUCUCUAUCUGUCUAUCUGGUUAGAUUGUUUAAUAUGAUGAAUCAAAUGAAGAGUUAUGGUGAGGAGUUAUCUAGGGAGAGAAUUGUGCAGAAGCUAUUGUUUAGUCUGCCUAAGUCCUAUGAUUCUAUAUGCUCUGUGAUAGAGCACUCAAAGGAUCUUGAAACUCUGGAAGUUCAAGAAGUGGUUGCCUCCUUGAAGAGCUUUGAGCACAGAUUGGAUAGGCACACUGAGAAUUCUUCAGAAAGAGCUUUUGCUAGUCUGAAUGUAGAUGAAAAGAAGCCUAAGAAUGAGAGUCUUUCUGAAAAUCAGAGUUUUCAGAAAAGUGCUCCUGGAAAUCAAAGCUUUCAAAAACUUUGGAAGCCUAAUGAUGGUAACAUAGCAGCUUGUAAGCAUUGUGACAAGUUACAUUAUGGCAAGUGCUGGUAUGAAGGCAAGCCUAAAUGUCAUGGAUGUGGAAAAUUUGGACAUAUGGUCCGAGAUUGCAAUGGAAAUAGGAAUGCACAUAGGGUGAAUUAUGCAAAUGAGAUGGAAGAACCUGGUACACUAUUCUAUGUCUGUAAUGCUGCAACAGAUGUAAAGGUUAAUCACUCUUGGUACAUAGACAUUGGGUGUAGUAAUCACAUGACAGGAGAUGAGGGACUUUUAGUAAAUGUUCAAAGGGAUUUGACUUCUAAGGUGAAGAUGGGGACUGGAGAAGUAGUUUCAGUUACUGGAAAAGGAACUUUGGUGAUAAAAACCAAGUUUGGUAAGAAGCACAUUCAUGAAGUAAUGCUUGUACCUGGUCUUGAAGAAAAUUUGCUCAGUGUUGGGCAAAUGAUGGCACAUGGCUACCAUCUUGUGUUUGGAGAGAAUAUGGUGAGAAUUUAUGAUGAUCAGUCAAUGGAAAAUCUGAUUGUGGAGGUGCAAAUGACAAACAACAGAUGCUUUCCAUUGACAAUGAUGCCUGCCAGUGAGUUGGUUCUAAAAGCAAGUGUUACACAUUGCUUGCAGACAUGGCAUAAGAGACUUGGGCACUUAAAUGAAAGAAGUAUGAAGCUGCUUGAGAAUCAAGGGAUGGUUCAUGGACUACCCCACUUGGAGCAAAUGUCAGUGGUGUGUGAUGGAUGUAUGCAAGGAAAGCAGCAUAGGGAUUCUUUCCCUUUGGAAUCAACUUGGAGAGCCUCUAAUCCUUUGGAAUUGGUUCACACAGACAUCUGUGGACCAAUGAAAACAGAAUCCCUCUCUGGAAACAGAUAUUUUCUCCUAUUUACAGAUGAUCACACUAGGAUGUCUUGGGUGUAUUUCAUUAGAAACAAAUCAAGUGCAUUGGAGUGUUUCAUGAAAUUCAAAGCUAUGACUGAGCUGCAAAGUGGGUUCAAGAUAAAGAGUUUGAGAAGUGAUAGGGGUGGAGAAUUCUUGUCAGGAGAGUUUAACAGUUUCUGUGAAGAAUCUGGCAUUCAAAGGCAAUUAACAGUGGCUUACUCCCCUCAGCAGAAUGGAGUAGCUGAGAGGAAGAAUAGAACAGUGGUUGAAAUGGCUAAGUCAAUGCUGCAUGAGAAAGGUAUCCCUUAUGAGUUUUGGGCAGAGGCUGUCAAUACUGCAGUCUAUUUGUUGAAUAGAUGUCCUACCAAGGCUCUCAGUAAGGUAACACCAUUUGAGGCCUUCACUGGCAGAAAACCAGGAGUUGCACAUCUGAAAAUAUUUGGAUCUCCUUGUCAUGUGCUUAUUCCUUCUGCAUUAAGGCAUAAGCUUGAAGAAAACAGUCACAAGUGUAUUUUUGUAGGCUAUGGUCUUUGUGAAAAGGGAUAUAGACUCUUUGAUCCAAGAAAUAGGAAGAUUAUUCUGUCAAGGGAUGUGAAAUUUGAUGAAGAAAGCUUAUGGAAAUGGGAGAAUGCUAGAGAAGGAGAAAUCACUGUGCUUGUGCCUACUGGAAAUCAAGACUAUGCUCUAAAUCCAGACUUGAAUGCACCACUGCAAAUACAUGAAGAAGUCAUAGCUCCAGAAGAACCAAGUCAAAGCUUGGAGACACAAACACAAGCAGAUGGAGAUCUACCCUGCAGGAUGAGAGCAUUGAAGGAAGUUCUCAAGCUAUUGAUCAUACACCAAAGAAAUGGAAGAGCAUUAAUGACAUUAUGGCUCAGUGUAAUAUGUGCAUUAUGGAGCCUGAGAAUUUUGAAGAAGCUGAUCUAGAUGAGUCAUGGAGAAGGGCAAUGGAGGCUGAGUUAGAAAUGAUUGAGAAGAAUAACACUUGGCAGCUUGUGGAAAGGCCUUUUAACAAACCUGUUAUUGGUGUCAAAUGGGUCUAUAAGACCAAGCUUAAUCUAGAUGGCACUGUGCAGAAGAAUAAGGCUCGGUUAGUAGCUAAAGGCUACUCACAAAAACCUGGAAUCGAUUACAAUGAGACGUUUGCCCCAGUGGCAAGGCUAGAUACCAUUAGGACUUUGAUAGCUCUGGCUGCACAGAAGGAAUGGCAUUUAUACCAACUGGAUGUCAAGUCUGCAUUUCUGAAUGGAGUUCUAAAAGAAGAAGUAUAUGUGGAGCAGCCACAGGGUUUUGAGAAAAAGAAUGAAGAAAUCAAAGUGUAUAAGCUGAACAAGGCCUUGUAUGGAUUAAAACAAGCCCCAAGGGCAUGGUAUGAUGAGAUAGAUUCCUACUUCAACAAGGCAGGAUUUAAGAAAAGUCCAAGUGAAGCUACACUUUACAUUAAAACUGAUGAAGGCUCAGGUAUUCUCAUUGUUUCUCUCUAUGUGGAUGAUAUUGUUUAUACUGGAAGUUGUGUAAAAAUGCUUGAAGAGUUCAAAAAUGACAUGAUGAAGCAUUAUGAGAUGACUGAUCUCGGGCUACUCUAUCAUUUUCUUGGCAUGGGAGUUGUGCAGACUGAGAAAUACAUAUUUCUCCAUCAGAAGAAGUAUGCAAUGAAAGUGGUUGAGAAAUUUGGUUUAAAAGGCUGUAAAUCAGUGGCAACCCCCUUGGUAGCAAAUGAAAGGCUGUGCAAAGAAGAUGGAAGUGAGAUGGCAGAUGAGAGUGAAUAUAGACAGAUUGUAGGCAGCCUGCUGUAUCUGACAGCUACAAGACCAGACAUCAUGUUUGCCUCAAGUCUGCUUGCUAGAUUUAUGCAUAAUCCUACUAGAAAGCACAUGGGAACAGCCAAAAGAGUGUUGAGGUAUGUUCAAGGUACACUUGAAUAUGGAGUUGAGUAUAAAAAGGGCAAGGCAGCUACCUUAAUUGGCUACUGUGACAGUGACUGGGCAGGCAGUGAAGAUGACAGAAGAAGUACAUCAGGAUAUGUGUUCACUCUGGGAUCUGGCAUGUUUUCUUGGGCCUCAAUCAAACAAAAUACAGUAGCUUUGUCUACUGCUGAAGCAGAAUAUGUGAGUGCUGCUGAAGCAACAUCACAAGCUAAAUGGCUAAGGUUUAUACUUGAAGAUUUUGGAGAGGAGCAAGUGGAAGGCACACCAAUUCUGUGUGACAACACAUCUGCCAUAGCAAUGGCAAAGAAUCCUGUCUUUCAUCAGAAAUCCAGGCACAUAAGCAGGAAAUUUCAUUUCAUCCGAGAAGCUAUCCAAGCAAAGGAAAUUGAGCUAAUCUACUGCAAAUCUGAAGAUCAAAUUGCAGACAUCCUAACCAAGGCUUUAUCCAAGGAACGUUUUGUGUACCUCAGAGAUUUGCUUGGAGUUAAAUCAGUCAAAGGGUUAGAAGGGAGUGUUGAUGUGUAACCCUUUGAGCUGAGCCAAAAAUCCCCUUUGCCGCCUAAUUCCAUUUCAUUUAAAUGUUUCUGUUGUUUAGAUUUUUUGUUUUAAAAAAAAAAAAAAAAAAAAACUUUAGUUUUCUGCUGCUUGUAAUAAGGACCCUUGGAUUAGAGUCCAAGUGGCUCUUUAAGUGAGGGUUUAGAUUGAGACAAGUGUAAUCAUCUUAUAGGAUGAUAGUUCAAUGGCUAGGAUUGAGUUUUGUAUUGAGGCAGUUAGAGAAGAAUCUCUCUUCUCUCUCCUCAACGGAUAUAUCUCUUUUUGGCAUGUAAUGAAAUACAGCUGACUUCAUUCAUUCAAUUUUUCUGUUCUUUCACAGAGAGCAAUGUUCUCUCAUUUCUCUCCCAAACACAUCCAAAAUCUAUGAAUUCUAUCAGAGUGAACCUUGGACAAGUUGACACAACUUUUCAAUAUCAACUUUUCGAGAUUAGGGAAUUUUGAAAAGUCACCAGAUUUUGUUAUGUGAUUAUCGCAUUCGACAUGAAUGAUGUCAUCAUCAUUGACCAGAUUUUGAGAUGGGCGUCGUUCAUACGCACAAAGAUGGUAAUCAAUCAUAUUUUCGUUCAUAAAUUUGUCCCAUACCAGACUAACACCUAUUUUCUUCACCUUCACCCAUUUGUCCACUAUUAUUUCAAUCCAGACUUUAUCACCGUCUUGCAAUUUGAGCUCGUCAUUUGAUAACUGUCCCUGCCAAAGAUAAUAACCAGUACCUUUAUUAUUGUCAUAGUCGGGUAUGAUCCUGGCAUCAAGCUCAGUACCCCCGGUGACGUUUUUAAUGCUAAUGCGAAAACGACAAGGGACCCAAUAUGAAGAGGAAGAGAAACCGAAGGACAAAGUUAACCCUUUCAAAUUACGACCAACACUUUGAGGCACAGUGAAAUACACAUUAUCAUCGUCAUUGACACAGUGGAACCAAUCAGGAAUGUCAUUUCCUCCGAGAAAAAUUCCACCAAAUCCGCAAGAAGUCCAUCUCUGCACACCAGAAGCAAUACGUUCUUAUACAUGCAUGCAUAUAUCAUUACAUGGGCAGUCAGAUUGUGUGUGUGUGUGUGUGUGAGAGAGAGAGAGAGAGAGAGACCUGUAGGAUGUUGUUCCUAAAAUCGGCAGUCAGAUUGGUGCAGCCUUCCAUAUGAAUCCUUGUCAUGGAGUUUAAUGACUUAUCCAAGCCUAGAAUCUCAGCGAUUUUGCCCGAAUUACGUAGAUACAAUUCUCUUAUAUUUGACAUUUCUGAAAAAUCUGGCAUUUUUUUCAAUGAAAAGCAGCCAUGUGCUUGUAAGACUUUCAAAUUUGUUGGUAAAUCUGGGAUUGCACGAAGAUAUUUGCAAUUAUCUAAAGACAAAUCUUGAAGCCGUGAAAGACGACUGAGGCUUGGUAGGCUGAAAAAGUCAUUGCUUGCAAGAUUUAAAUUUUCUAAGGAAAUUAGGCUACCGAGAUCCUUGGGGAAUGCAUCAUCAGUUAAACUGCAAUCUGCAAGAGCUAAUUCUCUUAAAAAGCUUAAUCUUUGCAAUGGAGGCAAAAGAUUUGUUGAUGGCGAUCUUUUCACAUAACGUAAAGAUAAAACUUUCAGUUUCUUCAAUGAUACCAUGUCCCCUAAGCCAUCAGCCAAGUUUUCAAAUCUCCAACAACCAUCAAGUAUAAGAGUUUCAAUAGACUUGGAUUUAUAGAAAUUCAGUGGGAGAUCCCUUAGCAUUUCGCAGCCUUCAAGAUUUACCAAAGAAAGUCUUCCUAGAUUCCCGAUGGAUGAGUGAACCUCAGACAAACGCCAACAGGAUUGCAAUAUCAAUUCCUCGAGAUUUGGGAGUUUUGAAAAGUCUGGUGAUUUUGUUAGCUGAUAGGAAUGACUGAGAUUAAGGACUUUCAAAUUCUGAUGCAACUGUUACACAAAAACAAAAUUAGAAGGGAAAUUAAAAAGGAAGGUCUUUGAUACAGAAAUUAAACCAAAAUGAAGAGAAGGUGAAGUAUAAUAUAUGUAUAGAACCAGAAGGAAAGAUUUUGAGUUUAUUAUACCUCGCAAUCCUUCCAAACUAUUUCGAGUUCGCUAUACUGCAGGUCUAAAGCAACAAGUUUUGGUUGCAUAGGAAAGUCAUCUGGUAUCGACCUUAAAGGGAAUCCAUGCCAGGACAACCAUAUUAACUUUUUGGGAAAAUCUUUGUACUCUCCAGUGAGCUCUACUCCGCUGAGGUGGAGUAACCUCAGUUUUUUCAUGUUGGUAAAUGCUUGUGCACUGAAUCUGUUCCAACGAAAAUUUCGUUGCAAAUCUAGAGCAACUCCUUCAAUUUCUUCAGUUCCCUGUUAACAAAAGAUUUAGAAAAAUGAUUUACAAACAUGAAAAUCCGUGUAUGUAUUAACCAAAAGGUAUAAUUCCUAAUAGUAUUGAACCAUGUUACGCCCUAUAGUUUGUGUUUGCAAUCAAAGCACAUUUUUUUUUUGGUUAUGCCUAAUUGAGCUUUGAUCUUAAUGGAUAUAAUAUAAGAAAUGGCAACGGGUCUAGCGAAGUGAAAAAUGGUCUAAACUUGCAGAUUAAGGUCUUAGGUUCAAAUUCAUAUGGCACCUUGGUAGUGUGGAUGUGUGAGAACCUCCUCUUUGGUUUAGACUAUCGCUUGUACUAAACAAAAAUAAAGAAAGAAAUGGAAAUAGACAUUUUAAUUUAUUAUAGACACAGGGUACAUAUGCUUCUCUUGCAUGAUGCAUUUCUAAAACUUUACUAGGAAAGUACUUACAGAUUCAUCACUCAAUACAUCCGUUAGGUCUUCACGUUUCCACAAUCUACUAAAAUUUUCAGGACGACCGGUGGAUUUUUCACGAACGAUCUCUCUUCCCAUGUCUCGAAGCAAAUCAUGCAUCAUCAGCUUGUUUUGCUCACUGGCAAUUACAAGGCACCGUUCAAUGAGGACACUGACUCCUAUCGUUGCAAAAAAGCCACAUCCAUCUAAUAUUUUUGUUACAUAGUCCUUAUCCUUUCCAAUAAAGAAACAAGAUAUAUCAAGGAAUAUCUUUCUCAUUGUAUCAUCAGGUAGCCCGUCAAAGCUUAUUCUGAGUAUUUUUUGAAUAUCUCCAUCAGAACUUCUUUCCAAUUUCUCCAAAUGAUUUUCCCACUCCACUGUGGAUCUUUUAAUCAGAAAAGACCCUACAACUUCAAGUGCUAGUGGCAAGCCUCGACAGUAACGAAUUACACGUUUUGAGAGGUCAAGAUAUUCUUGAUUAGGGUAACCACUUUCAAAGGCAUGCCAACCAAAGAGCUCUAGAGCUUCUUUUUCAUCCAUUUCUUCAACCAUAUAUGUGCCAUCCACUCCAAUUUGCUCUAGCAAAUGUUUAUCUCUUGUUGUUAUAAUAAUUCUACUUCCAGGACCAAACCAAUCACGUUUUCUAGCUAUUGCUUUUAGCUUCUGUACUUCAUCUACAUCGUCAAUUAUGACCAGUGCUCUUUUACAGUGAAGUCUUUCUUGUAUCACAGUGAUCCCUACAUCAACAGAAUCAACCUUUAUGGGAUCCUUGCUUUUCAAGAUAUCAUUUAGAAGUUUUUCUUGCAACCCAACCAGACCAGUAAUGGGUUGGUUUGCAAUUACUUCCCUCACGUUUGCAAGGAAACUCCUACCUUCAAAGCUACCUUCAAAUUUGUUAUAAAUGGCUUUGGCAAGCGUUGUUUUCCCAAUGCCGCCCAUCCCCCAAAUACCAAUCAUGCGAACAACAUCCUUAGAACCUGAAUUUUCAAUAUCAAUCAUGCGAACAACAUCGUUCAGCCGAGAAGUAAUUCCAACAAGGUGUUCGAUGUCUAAUUGGUAUUUGCUGUACAACUGCUUAUUAACCUCCCCAAGAAUUUUCUUGAUAAACUUUGCUUCAUGCCUGACAAUUAAACACAGAAGCAGAACUACGAAUCAUUCGAUGUGGAACAAAGUACAAGGUUAAAUUGAAUCCCUAACUUAAUAAUUUAGAAUGAGCAAAUUAUUUUCUUUUUUUAAUACAAGAUAUAAUUAACAUCAAAUGUUAAAUGGAUCUUACAUUAUCAAGUAAGAAAGAAUGGAUAGUUAAAAUCAAAUCAAACCAAACCAUAGUUAAAAACAUAGUUGGAGAAACAAAAACAAAAACAAAAAGGACAGAAAACAUAUGGUUGUCAAGUAAGGAGAUGAUAAUCCAAGGAACAAGAAAUUAGUAAUUACCCAUUGUCAGCAUUAAGAUCUUCCCCACACAAAUUUGCAGCUUGAGUGAGAGCAUUUCUCCACCGCUGUACCUUUUCUUUCUCAUGUUUACCUUCACAGAUGCCCGUUUCAUGUUUCUCAAAUGCCUGCGCAAACCUACCAGUUUGUUUCCGGACAUCUGAAGCAUCAACAUUAUAGAACAAUGGAAUAACCUGUUGCCCCAAUCUUUCUCUACACUCCAUGAUCUUCACCAGCUCGUCAAGACACCAACUGGAAUCGGCAUAACUCUUGGAGAAGACAAUUAUGGAGAUCAUGGACCCGUCGAUUGCCUGCUCCAGUUGGGUUUUUAUAAAUUCCGCUCUUUUUAGCUCGUCGUCGUCAAGAAAGGAGCGGAUUCCGGCAUCAGAUAAUGCGGCGUGGAGGUGGCCUGUGAAGCCCUUGCGUGUGUCUUCACCUCUGAAGCUCAAGAACACUUGGUACUUCCAACGUUUUGACGAGGAAGAUGGUGAGGAUGAAGAGGAGGCUUUAUGGGCUUUCCAGGCAUCUAUUAAUUGAUACUGGUUCAGAUCAGUGGCGGAUCUGUUCACAGGACAGGAUGGGUGCCCGCCCAUCCCAAAGUUUUUUGUAAUUUUUAAAAUCUACAUAUGUUAUAAGGGCAGCCUCAAAUUUGAAAAAUUAAAAGCUAACUAACCCAAUACACAUGUUGCCCAUCGCAUCAGCUUGUUUAUCUCUUCUAUUCUACAGCAAUCCGACGGCAGCAACAUCAUCUUCUUUCCCCCUCUAUUUGUUGCAUCUUCUCAUUAUCUUGUCUAGGCAGUGGACAGCUUGACAAUAUAUUUUCCUCUACUUUCUACACAAAAAAGUAUUUUCCAAUUCUCUAAUUUUUCUAUAUCUUUAAUUAUAGUUUUAAUUUAAAAUUGAGUAUUCUAGGAUUUAGAACCUGAACUUCAGAUCAGACCAACUACAAAUUAGGCACAAGUUGGCCUUCUGAUCCGACUUGAGCAGAAGAAGUUAUUUCAUAAUUAAUUAUUUUUUUCUGGGGAGUGGUUUGGCCUUGAGCAGCAGAUGAAUAUGUUAUUGAACGUUUCAGUCAACAGAAGCAAAAGUCCCUACGUUCCUGCCAACACGUCAUUGACGCGGAGAGAGGCAGAGAGAGCGUGGAAGAUCAGUGUGAACAGAGGGUAAUUUUCUGGAAGCAGCCAAAACCAGGGGUCAUUUUCUGUGGCUGCUGGCUACACGAUCUGCUGGACGACAAAGAUUGUAGGUCAGGAAAAUGCAAGGAAGCUUAGUAGAAAGAGGCGUGAAAAAAGAGGAAAGAGAUGAGGACAAUGUCCAAUAAAAAAAGAAAAAGAAAAAAGAAGAAGAAAAAUACAGUCUUGUUUCAGUUUGUUUUCACAAAAUCCAUUUUUAUUGAUUGUUUGUAUAAAAAUUGAUGAUUUCAUUUAUAAAAAAAAAACUUAUGCAAAUAACAAAAUUAACCUAAAUGAAGUAUAUGCAAUCUAAUCUCAAAGGUCAACUUUGUCAAUUGGAGAAUUUUUUUUUACAUAUAUAUAUAUAUAUAUAUUAUUUCUCACCAAAUGAGACUUAGCUAGGUUUUAUCCUGACAUAUGAUUUGAUCAAUAAUGUAUUUAAUAAAUGUGAGACUGUUAUAAAAUAACCUGGAAUAUGUGCGAAUAUUGAGCUGCACGUAAAGUAGAUGAGACACAGUAUUUAACGAGGUUCGGCUAUGCCUACAUUCCCGGAGAGCAGCAGUAGUAACUUUUCCACUAUGUAAAAUAAUAGGGCUACAACUUUAGAGUUUACAAUAUGUAAGGCUCACUGAAUUUUCUCUCUGCUCACUCACCCUAUUUCUUCCUUCUCUUCCUCUUCUCUGCUUGACUCUCUUUCCUCUUUUCUUUCCUCCUUUCCCUUUCCUCUUCUCUUUCCUUCUUUCCUUUUCUUCUCUCUUUCCUCCUUUCCUUUUCUUCUCUCUUUCCUUCUUUCCUUUUCUUCUCUCCGUUUCCUUUUUCUUUGUUUUCUUUCCUCUUCUUUUUUCUUCUCUUCUCUUUCCGUUUCUCUUCUUAUUUAUAGGCUGAAAUAAUCACUAUUCAUCACUAUUCACUAUUCACCCGUGACAGACAAACUCUACCAAAAGUCUCCAAAUGAAUAGUAAUGAAUAGUUAGUGGGCUCCACAUGUUUAUUCUUUUACAACACUCCCCCUUGGAGACCACUAAUGAUAUGUCGGUUGUAUCAUUAAAGACUUGCUUGGAGAAAACCUAGUAAGGUAGAGAACUGAUGGAAAGAAGAGUACAACAAUCUGUAUAGCAUACUUCUGGAUGCUCCCCCUGAUUAAUAUCUCCCCCUGAUGUCUUCAUGACUAUCUUUUGGAUUGAGAAUCUUUCUGAGUGAGUGAAUGAUGUAGCCACCAACAAUUCAUAUAGUAAAUAUAUUUCCAGUAAGCUAUCUCUAUGGAAAUCAUAAAAAUUUUCAGAGUCCGCGUUUCCAACAAAACCUGGGCUAUUUGUAAGAUCAUAUGAAAGAAUAUGCCCAUACAUGGUGUUAUGCGGAGAUAGCAUCAAAUAUACCUCACAUCAUCCCAAAAUGAUGGUGAUGGAGUUGAGCCUUAUCUGGAAAAUAUGAUGUCUGGUCCAAUAUACUUCCGGAAAAUCAUUAAAGUGUCCAACGGAUAAUCCUCAUAAAAAUGCUUCAAUACUUUCUUAGUAUAAGCAAUAAUCUUGUUGGUAUAAUGUUCGAUCCUUAAGUCGAGACAAAUAUUUCUUGAAUUCUGCAGAAUCUUUAAUGUGUUGCAAUCACAUCAAUGUACUCACUGAGGUAAUUUAUGCAUAUUAAUAUUGAGUACAAAUUUUGUGCUUCAAGCACAUGUCCUUUAGGGACUUGCUUUAUGCAAUGUCAAUCCUCUCAACGGAUUUUGUUUAAAAGGGAUUAAACUUUAUGACACAUUAUAUAGCUUUAACCCAGCUAUUUAUACAUCUUUAGGAAAUCGCUUCUGGCGAUAUGCUCCGUGCAUUUAAUAACCCUUAAAGAUAAUAUGUUGGUCUCCGUAAUUGUGUAAUAAGGGGGGCACAAUUGAAUCUGUAAAUAUGGAGAAAACCCAACAUUCCUUGUUUCUGCCAGAAACAUUGUGUCAUACAAAGUAGGUAUAUUCCCUUUUAUUCCGAACACCCAAGUAUAACUUUCAGUAUUGACAAAUUUGGGGUUCGUACUGUGGGUUUGUUCUUUCACAUUCAUUCUCAUUUAUAAUGGAAUUACCUCGUUCCAUUUUGGCCAAUAAUAUUGUCGACAUUUAAUAAUUGAACGUGGUUCCAAUCAACACAGCCCAUUGAUGAUUUGAGUAGCUACUCCAAAAUCAAAAAUUGUCAUUCAUCAAUUUAUGAUCUCACCAUUCUCAUUUGCAUGAGCAUACAUCAAUUAUAAGCAUUUUUUUGCUUUUGGGUACCCAAGCCACUUCAGAGGGCUUUUAUUAUGUGAGAAUGUGGAUUAUAACCUCCAAUGGAGCGUUAUUUUAUAGUAGGGCGUGGAUAAUCUCCAUUUAGGGAGUUGGAACAUUUAGAACCCAUAUAUCUAUCAUGCUGCAGGCAUGCCACAGAUUAAUACAUACAUGUCAAUUAAUUUAUGGGACUUUAACCCAUAUUAUGGGACUUUAACCCAUAUAAUUUGCUACGCAUUAGGCGUGCAUAAUAUCAAUAUUGACAUGUCAAAGGAUUGUCCUUUCGGGACUUCAAUCCAUAUCAUUUGCUACGCAACAGGCGUGCACCCAUAUUGAUCACUGCUAUACCCAUAUUCUGUUCUUAUGGGACUUUAAUCUGUGCAGUGUAUUAUCAAUGUAUCCAACUUGCAAUCUGUAAAAUUUGCGUUAAUAAUUCAUGGAUACAUACAAGCCAUUCUUUUGGAACGGACUUAUCUCCCCAUUUGGUUACCUUUCAAGAUAAAAUAUCAAAUAGGUAUAUAAGCAUAAAAUAACACAAGUAUUGCUUACAUCCUUAGGUGGGAGAAACUUUUCUCAAGUAUCAUUCAAGCUCAUAUCGGCCCAGUAAAUAUAAAGUAUCGCUUGAUGAUCUUGUUAUAUCCUGCAAGAGCAAAAAUCACAAUUCUUUUCUCUGUCAAAAACAAAUAACUCUCAGAGUUAGGAUCACUGCAUAGAUUCAUUCUUCAGAUGUUCAUUCUAAAGAAAUAAAAUCUCUUAUGAAGAGAGUUAUAAAAAGAGAAAAAAUGCAAAAAGAUUGUGAUAUUGAUUGCAAGGUAAGGUAAGCAAUCAAGGAAGGAAGCUGGUGGGAGCAAACAACAAGCUCUCAGUUCUCCUAGUCUAGAAGGACCUCAGGAGAUUAGAGCAUAAGGUCGUCUUCACAGUUCCCGGAUGUGGCGGAAACGUGAUCAGGGAUAGUCUCGCUUCCUGAAUGGAUGAUCAGAGAUAGUCUUGCUUCUCGGGCAUAUUGAAUGCUCACUGAUAAGAAAAAUAAGUAGAUAUCGCAUCACUAGGUAUGGAGAAAACUGGAUGUCUUCUGCAAAGAAAAUUUCGUUAGUAACACAUUUAUACACAAAUACAAUGAAUAGGUAGAAUCGGUGAAUUUCAAAUUAACCAUAGGAAAAUUGCGAGAUUCUCGGGAUGCUUUUGAAAAAGUAGCUCCGUGAAAUCCGUAAAGCAAGAUCGGCUUUUGACAAAAAUAAUACUUGAAAACGCCGAAAGUGCCGACAUGCAUUAUCAGAGGCCACGUGAAGUUUUGGACUCUGGGAAAGAAAAAGAUAAUAUAGGGAUCUGAGAUAAUAUUGGGAUCCUGGAAACUGUAGCCAUAUUUCCUCCUAUAGAUAUGGCCUUUGCAAAACUUGAUUGGAGCAACUGCGUUUCAACUCAAAUUUCUUCAUUUUCUGAAACUUUAGUUUUCCUAAGACUUUCUUCGAAACCUUCUUAAAAAUGGCUUCCUCUUCUUCCUGCCCAAAUUAUUUCAAUUUAAAUGAUGCUCCCACAACUACCAAUGAUGCCCAAGUUUGGCGUCCAUCCUUUGUAUCCCAAAAUCGUCAUCUCACAGUUAAUGAUUCUGUGAUGAUGAAUGAUGCUACUGCUGUCAUAGUAGCUAGGAAUUUCAUUACUCCGAUGGAUGAAAUGCUGUUAAUAGGGAGGUCUGAGGAAGAGGCUAUUGAUGACUCAAUGGCUUUUAGCAUUCAGAGUGCUGCUUCUGUUUCUAACAUGGCUGAUCGUUUGCGUGCUAGAGCAAACGAGGUUGAGAAGCUGACAACUGAAAAUUCGUCUCUUCAAAGAAUGCUUCAUGAGUCUCAACAGGAGGUUGAGAAACUUAAAGGAGAGAAUAAUUCCUUGUUGAAACUGGUGAGUUCGUACUCCGUUGAUACACUGAGAAGGCUAGACAUGUUGCAGGUCUCCAAUGAAAGAAUUUUGGGAGACCACGAGAAGCUCAUGGCCAAGCUUAAGAGGCGCCGUACUCUUCCUUCAGAGGCUUCCAGAACAUAAUGUAAUUUUAUAGAUUUUACAGGGCCUGCACCUUAAUUGCAGGUGGAAAAAAUCUAUCUGUUGUAUGUUCCUGUAAUAAUAAUUGCGCACAUUCUUAAACUUGCACCUGUGGUUUUUACGUCUUUUCAAAAUGACGGUUUGGAACCUUGUGCCUUAUAGGUUCAAAUAACCACAUUGUCUCUCCCAAAUUGCAUGGUAGCCCGGAACUUUUGGCCUGGCACAAACUCAGAAUUUAUUUGCCCUUUUCAAAUGGACCUGAAAUGUGAAUUGAGUAAAAGCCAUGAUAAUAUCGCAAUAUAGUAGUGAAGAGCAUUAACUACUAUAUACCCACAACUUCAAGUUUAGGAUCUCUCAUAUAUUUGGAUCCAUGGGCUUCCGGCCCAGAUAUAACAAAAUAUGUGGGGAGCCUCAAUUCAUUAUUUGAGGUUUAUAUUGAUAUUAUCCAUUUCGCGGUGUAUUCUUAACAACCGGAAUUCACAAAAUAUAUUUCUUCCUUGAGGUGUCGAUUAUAACAAAAUCGAACUUUAAAUUCAUCAUCUUCUUAUGCCAAAGAAAUAUGUGGCAUACCACAAUUUGCAAUAAUACCUCAAGGGUUGUCCAUUUAAUUGUUGGAACUUCAGGUUCUCAACACUGUUAAAUUUUGAACUUCAGGCCAAAGCCACAUAUUCUCAUGGUAUGGACAUUUUUACAAUUUUCUGUACUUAUUUCGGGACUUCAAGCCCUUACAUAAUUGUCCAUAUUUUGAGGAACUUCUGGCAUCUCAUUUAAUUGCUCAUCCAUGAGUUACAGGUUCCCUUUUGUAUAUAGUGACGUUUUACCCAAAAUGGUUAAUAUUUAUGCAUACGUCACUAUUCAUGUGAAUAGUACUAUUCAUCAAGUCAUGAAUACGUAUCUAUUCAUCUGCCAAUACAGUUAUCAUCAAUGUGUACGGCACCAUGAAACUGCAGGUUUCCUUUUGUAUAUAGUGACGGUUUACCCAAAAUGGUUCAUAUUUAUGCAUACGUCACUAUUCAUGUGAAUAGUACUAUUCAUCAAGUCAUGAAUACGUAUCUAUUCAUCUGCCAGUACAGUUAUCAUCAAUGUGUACGGCACUAUGAACCAAUACGGUACUGUUACAUCAUUAAGGAACUCUAGGUCCUUAUUUACAUGUCAGGGAUCAAGGACCCUUAAUUUCGAUCACAUGUUUACAAAUACAGUACCGGAGAGACUGCCAGCUCUCAUAUUAAUAUCAUCAUCAAGGAUCUUCAAGUCCUGAUGUAAUUGUAUGAUGAGGAUCAAGGAACUUCUGGUCCUGAUCUGCAUACUGUAAAAAAACUCAUCAUACAGCACAAUUAAUCCAUAAAAUAAAUUGCUGAUAAAUAAAUUACUGGUAUGGACGAUAAACCCGCACCACACUUUAAAUAAAUGUAAAUGUGCGGUAAAAUAAAUUCAUAAAUUAAAUCGCUUGCUGUAUGGACGUUAAUCCCGCACCAUACCUUAAAUAAAUUAAAUAGCUUGCUGUAUGGACGUUAAUCCCGCACCAUACCUUAAAUAAAAUUAAAUGUGCGGUAAAGUAAACGUGCUUGUAUGGGUACUAAUUCUGCUCCAUACAUUUAAAUAAAAGCAAAGGCGUGGACGAUAAACCCGCACCACCCUUUAAAUAAAUAUUGCCGUAUGGGUAAUAAACCUACACCAUACCAUAAAUAAUACUUUAAGUAAAAGUAAAUUUGCGAUAAAGUAAACGUGCUUGUAUGGGCACUAAUUCUGCUCCAUACAUUUAAAUAAAAGCAAAGGCGUGGGCGAUAAACCCGCACCACCCUUUUAAAUAAAUACUGUUGUAUGGGUAAUAAACCUACACCAUACAGUAAAUAAAAUAAAUGUGGGAAUAAAAACCACCACUGAACAAGAUAAGGAAAGUGUUAGUAUUAGUAACGGUCUCCCACUGAUAAUAUGUUUAGUAUUACCAAGGGUCCAUUUUUGUUAAUGGUUAGUAAUAGAAAAGCAGAUAAAUAUAGUAUAUUAUAUUACCAUCAACUUUUCAUAUAUAAUAUAUAUAUAUAUAUAUAUUAUACUGAUAUAUUAGUGGAAAGCUAGAUGCGUUGGCUUUUCUUCUUUACAUCAACAUAAUGGUUAGUAGUAUAAAUAAUAGUGCAGCACAAAAAUUAUACCUGAGAGCUUCUCGUGCUGAUAACGUGUUAUAAAAUAACCUGGAAUAUGUGCGAAUAUUGAGCUGCACGUAAAGUAGAUGAGACACAGUAUUUAACGAGGUUCGGCUAUGCCUACAUCCCCGGAGAGCAGCAGUAGUAACUUUUCCACUAUGUAAAAUAAUAGGGCUACAACUUUAGAGUUUACAAUAUGUAAGGCUCACUGAAUUUUCUCUCUGCUCACUCACCCUAUUUCUUCCUUCUCUUCCUCUUCUCUGCUUGACUCUCUUUCCUCUUUUCUUUCCUCCUUUCCCUUUCCUCUUCUCUUUCCUUCUUUCCUUUUCUUCUCUCUUUCCUCCUUUCCUUUUCUUCUCUCUUUCAUUCUUUCCUUUUCUUCUCUCCGUUUCCUUUUUCUUUGUUUUCUUUCCUCUUCUUUUUUCUUCUCUUCUCUUUCCGUUUCUCUUCUUAUUUAUAGGCUGAAAUAAUCACUAUUCAUCACUAUUCACUAUUCACCCGUGACAGACAAACUCUACCAAAAGUCUCCAAAUGAAUAGUAAUGAAUAGUUAGUGGGCUCCACAUGUUUAUUCUUUUACAACAGAGACAACAAUACGUAUUCAAUAGUUAAUGAUUGAGAGGCUCCUAAGAACUUUCAAUUCUUCCCUUCCUUAUUGAUUAAAAAAAUAUCCGAUAGUUAUGUUCGUUCUUCAAAAAUAAUUUAUUUAUUAAGUAGAUCAUCACCUGAUAUAACCAGUUGACUUAUAUUAUAACACGAAUAUAGAAUAACAGAAAUAAUGGGCUUGGUUUCAACCACAUGCCUUGUGUCCAUAUGAGCUUGGUAUAUCGUUUGGCAUAGGGAAAAACUAUGUUGAUUUCAUGUGAGUCUUUUCCAUGCUUGGGCGUUUGUUGCAGUGGACCAUAAAAUUUUUGGGUAUCAACAAUAAUGAACUAUCAUAAUUUUUCCCAUCUUCUUGUUCUUGUACACAUGUGAUCACCAUUUUCCAACAAGGGCAUUGACUAGUUACAAAACAAUCAAUCGACACAAAAAGAUAAAGUAGGAAAAGUACUUUUGAAAAGUAAAAUCUUCAACCCAAUCAAUCCAGCUUGUACCUCAAUGAAAGAACAUUAUUUUGCAAGACCCUAAUUGAGUUUGCAUCUAUUUAAGGCACAGAAUCUGUUAAGGAAUAAAAGUGGAAAGUUUUUAUUUGAUUAGCUGGAUACUUGGAGGUGAAGAAGGAAUGAAAUAAAAGGAGAUAUCUAUCCUAUUCUGUCAUGGAUUCUAGAGGUGAUUAAGGCAUGAUUUAGGUAAUCUUUUAUGGGCAAGAAACCUAGGUCAAAUCACCUAUAAAAACAAGGUUUAGGUCCCCGAUCUUAUACACAUUCAAGCAUACAAAUCCUACCCCAUAUUGGGAGUGCAUAAGGCGUGUAGAAAGAUUGGAAGACCUUUGCUUGCUGCACAAGAUCUUUUCUGUAUAAUUCUCAUGGCUUCUCAAGGUCAGUACUUAUAGCUUGUUUGAUCUUAAAGUCUAACAUGUGGUAUCAGAGCCUAGGUCAUGCAUCUAUAAGUCUAAAUCAAGAUAAAACAUAAACUCCAGACUGUUUUUCCAAUUCUGCAUUUUGUGCUGUGCUAUAAUGAUUGUUUGCUAAACUCAAGAAUUAAAAUUUGUAUUCUGGGACUUGACAGGACCCGACCCAAAUUCCACUUUGGAAUUCGAGCAGAACUCUGUGAGUAUCUGACACCUGGCUAAUGCCGGGCACAAAGACCAAACUGCCAUUCUAACUAAAAAUCCAUUUUUUAAAAUAAGAUUAUCUUAUGCCGAAAAUUCGGCAGAGUUUCCCCUGUAAUUUACUCAUUUCCCAAAAUUUCUACCUGUCAACAAAAAUUUAAAAUUUCUCAAGCGUUCAGCAUAUAUCAAUUUAUAUCUAGGAAAUCAAAUAUCACAACAUUCUGGCCUCAGGCCUCAAUGAAACGAAUAAAUCAUUCUACCAACCACAUUAAAUUCAACUUCUUAAACCAUCACCAGAACAUUGCUAGAUUUCAUAAUAACUUAGCUGGACUACUUUUAAUUACUUGCUCUCGUGGCUGCACCUUGUAACAAUAGGCUGUCUAUGUACCCUUACUGAGGGAUCAAGCCACAUGUAGUUCUCAAAUUUCAUCUCAACUUUCUGUUUCAAGCUUCCUGGCAUUUCUCACAUGGCAAUAUAAAAUCAAACAAAGAAAUAAAAACAUUUAUAUCAAGUAAGCAUGCUUGUAAAGCCAUAACCAUCAAUUCCUCAUGACACCAAUGGUGACACGUCCUGAUCUGUAAUCCUUGUUGGACUUAGGAGACAUCUGGUCAACCUGGUCUGCAAUCCUCGCUUCCACGGUCCGGAUAACUCUAAGACUCAUGAGGGCAAAAUAUGCUAGAAAAACUUAAGAUAUUUAAUACUAUAUAAAAUAAUAAAAGAUAAAGAUAAAUAAACAUACUAAAAUAAAAUAAAAUGAAACAAAAUAAGUUAAAGAUUUAUAAGCUAAGAACACCCUUGUAUCGAACUCAAGUAAAGUUCAUAAAUAUAUAUAUAUAUAUGUAUCCAUCUAUCGCUUGUAAAACAAAUGUGAUGCUUAAGAAAAAUAAUGGUAACUGUAUAAAAUCCUCAAUUUAGUUCAAAAGCAUCUCAGAACUUAAAUUCGCUCCACCUAGGCGUAUCCCAAUUUCUGAUCCGUCAAUUCCAUAUAUGCCAUCAAUUCCAUAUAUCCGUCAAUUCCAAUAAUAAUCCGUCAAUUCCAUCCUCGCAUGUCUCAAAACCAUAAAGUUAACCGAGCCUCAUUCCUCGCAGGUCUCAGAGAUAACACUUUAAUCUAAGCCGCAAUCCUCGCAGGUCUCAGAAAUAACACUUCAAUCUAAGCCGCAAUCCUGGCGCCACAUGGUUCAGGCGUCCCCGAAACUCGUGGGGCAUCAUCAAAAUAACAACCUAUCUCAAGGCAACUAGGGGGUACCCUCGCGGUGGGUUUGAAAACUAUAACUCGUCAUUUAUAUAAACUUUAAAUAGAUUGGUUCUCAACUAAACUUAAAAUAUAUAUAUAUCAUAAUUUGAUAAAAGCCAAAAGCUAAGAUUCAUCCUUUUCAACUACUGAAUAUAUAUAUAUAUAUAUAUAUACACCAAAUACUUGGCUAGUUUGUUAACUAUCUCGAUAUCUGCUUAGCAUACCAUUCCAAUAUUGUAUUUAUACUCUUACCACACAAUUAACCAUAUGUACAAAUAUAAACAGGUGAUAAAUAAACAGAUAAUUAAAUACUCAUCUCGAAAUCACAUAAAAUAGUGAAAUUAGAACUACAACUAAACCAAGUGAACACUCGCACGAGCAUGAGCUUUCUAAAGGCUUAAACAUAACACAUGGAGCUCAUCCUCAUUAAUUAAUCCAAAGUCCUGGCCCUGGGCUUCUAGAAGUGCGUGCAUUGUAUUUGAAGUCAUUCUCAAGCCUAUGUAAACCUUUCCAAAGAUUAGAACGGUCUAGGAGUGCCUCGGGACUCAAAAAGCGAUAAGUCCCAAAAAGUCAACCCGAGACCCCGUGGGAUCCACGAUCUCAAAAUUCCGAUCCAAGAGUUCCUAGAGGUCAUAACAUGCCUAGGACACAUGUCCCGAGAGUUUGGUCUCAACUGGACGGUCGGAUUGAUCACUAUCGUGCGAUCGGACGGUUACUAUCAACCUAACUGUGACACCCCGACCCCAAAUUUCCCCAAAUUUAACCCUUAUUUAAUUAUUUAAGGGUAUUUUAGUCAUAUUUUUAACCGGAGAGAGUUUGGGACCGCGACUUGUAUUUUUGGAUAGGUCGUACUGAGACGAGUUCAUAGACACGUAGUGGGCUCGAAUCGGAGUUGUAACGAGAGAGAUAUGGUCAAAAGAAACCCAGUGGCACAAUCGUAAAUAUUUUGAAAUGAGAUUUUUUUUAUAAAAACUCAGAUUUCUCUCUCUCUCUCUCUCUCUCUCUCUCUCUCUCUCUCUCUCUCUCUCUCUCCCGCGACUUCUCUCUCUCUCCCGUCGACCUCUCCUCUCUCUCUCCUCGUAACUCCAGCCACCGACCGCGGCUGCGGACGGGGCCGGUGUCAAAAGAACCGGCUCGACCUCGGCGUCACGACCCAGCCCAUCCCCGCCAUCGGCCGCCGCUCCAGCCGCCGAAAAAUGGCGAUUUUCGCCCGGAUGUCGUCGGAUCUUCACGGCCGCCGAUCUCCCUCCUCCGGCCGCCAUUUCUGGCGAUCAAGGUAUGGAAAUUCAUCCCUUCUGUAUGCUCUAGCUGAUGGAUGGGUAGGAUUAGAUCGAUUCUUAGCGUAGGCAAUUCGAUUUUCGAACUGAAAAUCGGCCGAACUUUGGCCUCCGUGAUCGGCCAUUUCCGGCCACUUUUUGGGGUAGGUCCAAGAACAAAAGUGGCUCCAAAUAGGGUGUUAUACCUAGGGUAGGAGUUUGGAGCCGUGGUUUUGAGAUUUUCCGGCGACGCGUUAUCGCUUUGGGCACCCACGCGCUGCCGGCGCGUGCGGCGGCGCGUGGGCACUGUAGAAAAAUAGAACUGUGUUCCAAUGAGAUCCUUAGGUUGUCACGAGUGUGUAGGAUUUCACGGAUUUCAAUUCGGACGCCGUUUGACUAUCGAACGGAUAAUCGCAUAGUAUGCUUUAUCCGGGUUCGACAGGUUGGGACCGUCGGAUGGUCCCAAAUUUAAUAUAUGUUAAUCUACGUAAUUCUAGGAUCGUGUAGGAAUUCACGGAUCGUGAAUCGGAGCCCCGGAUGUUCCGAAUAAUAAUUUUAAAGUUUAUAUUUUAUAUUAAUUGUCAGAUCGUGCGAUCGUGAGCAAUCCGACCGUCCGAUCUGAACCAAACUUAUAGGACAAGCGUCCUAUACAUGGUAGAACCCAUAGGGACUUUCGGAUCGGAAAUUGGAGGUCGUGGGUUCUGCAGGUCCAUUUGAUCAGGGUUAGAGUAGUUUGACCCUUGGUCGACCGUGAGUCUCCUGGAGUAAUCUCACCUUUCUAGGGGGGAUUAUCGGGUGCUAGACUAUUGUGGAGGGUUACACAAUAUUAGAAUUAAUUUAUAUAAUUAUAAUUAUAUAUGGUUGUACAAGGGUACAACAGAGUCUAGAAUGUCAGUUUGGAGUGCUACACGCACUACCUUAGGUACCUCCCCGGAUUUUGGAUUCACUACAAGCACCACCAAGUGAAAGUUAGGUCCCGCGUGGCAUAGGUUAUCCGGCGUUGGGACAGACCCCAUACGUGGCGUUGGUUGUACCGGCGUAUGGGGAGAUUUCCAAUAUGAUGAUCAGGUCUCACGUGGCGUAGGUUAUCCGGCGUUGAGACAGGCCUCAUACGUGGCAUUGGUUGUACCGGCGUAUGGGGAGCUAUUGUGAUAUUGUGUUGAGGUCGCACGUGGCGUAGGUUAUCCGGCGUGUCGACAGACCCCAUACGUGUCGUUGGUUGUACCGGCGUAUGGGGAGCUUUGUGAUAUGAUAUUGAGGUCCCGCGUGGCGUAGGUUAUCCGGCGUUGGGACAGGCCCCAUACGUGGCGUUGGUUGUACCGGCGUAUGGGGAGAUUUGUGAUAUGAUAUGCAGGUCUCACGUGGCGUAGGUUAUCCGGCGUUGAGACAGACCCCAUACGUGGCGUUGGUUGUACCGGCGUAUGGGAAGAUAUUAUGAUAGUAUGGCAUGGUCGCACGUGGCGUAGUUUAUCCGGCGUGUUGACAGGCCCCAUACGUGGCGUUGGUUGUACCGGCGUAGGGGAGAUUAUAUGAAAUACAAAGAAAUGAAAUAAGGUAUCGCCCAAGUGGGGAACUGGGUUUUAGGGAAGAACUACGUGUGGCUUGAUCCCUCAAGGAGGGUACGUAGGCAGCCUAAGGUUGUUAGGUGCAGCCGCAGACUAAAUGUUAGUUAUAAUUUGUAUUUGAAUUGCUUGGUAGUUGGUUAAGGAUUAUUGGAAGGCCGAAGGCCAUUUGUGUGAAUUGCAUGAAAUUAUAUUGUGCAUGCUGCCAGUUGAGAAUAUUAAAUGCGUUUUCAUGCAGGUAUAAAUUUUGGGAAAUGUCCAAUUUAUAGGGGAGACUCUGCCGAAAUUUAUGCAGGGAGUCUCGGUUUUUAGUAAGUGGGUCUGGCAUCAGAGUGAUGUCAGGAAUUCCAAAGGGUUCGUCUCGGGUUUUGAGAAAAUUCGGGGCGGGUCCUUUCACUAACCCUAGGGUUGGAAUUUUCGGAGUAUCCGGGUCUCCGUUUUUCGAUCCGUCGAGUCCUAUACAAUCCUAGAAUUUUCUAGAUCAACAUAUAUAAAAUAGACUACAAUCCAACGGUUCAAACAUAUUGAACCCGGAAAUUGCACAAUAUGCGAGAUCCGUUUGGGGUCCAAAUGUUGUCCAAAUUAAUAUCCGCGAAUUCCUAUGCGCUCCUGAGGACCAAGAGAUCAUUUUAGGUUCUGAAAGUGACUUCACUAUGCUACCCACGUGCCGGCAGCACAUGGGUGGCUUGAUCAAAUUCCGGCAGCCGAAAAUCUUCAAAACUGGAAACCCAGCUUCUAUCCUAGGUAAAACACCCUAUUUGGACCCACUUCUGUUCUUGGACCUACCCCAAAAAGUGGCCGGAAGUUGCUGGAAUCGAAGGCCGAAGCUGGCCAAAACUUUAAUCGCUUAAACAACCAAUUAAACGCAGAAAUUUCUCAAAAAUAACACAACCAGCAGCUAGAACACAUUGAAAGGAUAGAAAAUCAUACCAGAUUCGAAAGAUUUGGUGGCUGGAGGCAUCCGAACGAGCUCUCGAAAGUUUACUAAAAAAUUGUCCAACACCGCCUGUUCCGUGGCUGAUUCCGGUGACUACGCAGGCGGAUCAAGGCUGGGACCGAUUAGGAAUCGAAUGGGGAAGUGAGGCGGUUCUAACGGGACCGGUGCAGCCAAGAACGAAGGUGUGUGGUGGCGGUGGUGGAGGAGAGAGGUUGGUUGGUCGUGGAGCUUCUGAGGGGAAGGAAAAAAAAAUCUGGGUUUUAAAACUGAACUUUGAAAUAUUUACGGUUAUGCCACUGAACUUCUUUUAAUUGUAACUUCUUCGUUACAACUCUACGUGUCUACGGACUCGUUUCGAUGUGCUUUACACAAUGGUAUAAUCAGAAUUUCCAAAUUCCUUUCCAAACUUAAAAUGACCUUUUUGCCCCUUAUAAUAUUAAAUAAUAUUUUAAUUUCUCAAAAACCUUAAUUAAUUCAAAUCAUUUUAUUUUAAUGUUUAUUUCAAUUUAUUUCCUCUUUUAAAUUUGUUCUCUCUUACUUUAAAUAUUUUAACACUUUUUCGGGCCGGAAUGUAACAAUUUCACCAACGUCUCCCCGGUCAACAAGUCAACAUGUAAACCUAUUAAAAUAUUCCAGAGUAACAUUGUCUUUUUCUUUAAUAAUUUAGUAUUUAAUUAUUAAUUUAGGACCGGGUCGUUACAGGACUGCUGUGUGUGUGUUUUAAAUAUUAAACCAAUUUAUAUUGUUUAGCAUAUCUAGCUGCAGAUGCAUGUAGAAUCAUGAUUAGGUUUAAAACCAAUUAAGCAUGAACAUAAUGAAAUUCUGCAUCAAGUAAAUAUAUCAAGGAAGUCAUGUUUUGAUUCAAAGUCAUUGUUUGAUGUUCAGUCCACAGAUGAACAUGAGGCAAUUAUUUUAAAUCAUCUCCAGGUUUUUGAUGAAAUUGCAUCACGAGACACAUCAGUUGAGGUUUUCUGCUUACAAGUGUGAACCUCAUUCGAUUAUGCCUUAUGAUGGAACAAGAUGGCACAUCAACUGCUAUGAGGAUCAAGAUCUUUUCUGUCCACAGAUGGGAAGAUCUUGAUAACAGCUUAUCAUAGACAGUUUAUGACGUUAGACUUGUGAAAGAAACUCAAGCAUAUUUGAUAUUCUGUCCACAGAUGUUUAUCACAUAUGUAUGAAGAUUUUUAGGAUAAAAGAUUAACCAUAUUGCAUAAUUUUGUGUUUUCAGUUAUGAACCCUACCUCUAUCAAUUUGAUUGAACCCUUGACUGGUAGCAACUUUAAGAAAUGGAAGCGUGAUUUAGAGAUAGCUCUAGGUCUCUUAGAUCACAACAUAGCUUUAAGAGAAGAGAAACCAGUGCUCACUGCUCAGAGCAUUGCUGAGCAAAGGCUGAAACUUGAGAGAUGGGAGAAGGCAAAUAGGAUCUGUCUGCGCAUAAUGAAAAAGUCCAUGACUGAAGCCAUUUAUGGAGGCAUUCCUGAUUCUGAAAAUGCUAAGAAGUACUUGAAGGCAGUGGCUGAGAAGUUUAAAGAAUCAGAUAAGGCUGAAACUGGAAAUCUGAUGAAUAGGCUGGCUACUAUGAAGUAUGAUGGUAUGGAAGAGAUGAUGGUGUAUCUCCUAAGCAUGGUAGAGACUGCCAGCAAGCUAAAGGCACUUAAUGUUACUAUAGCCGAUCCUUUUCUCGUUCAUCUUGCUUUGAACUCUCUCCCUUCAUCAUAUGGACAACUUAAUGUAAUUUACAAUGCUCAUAAAAACAAGUGGGAUCUCAAUGAGCUCAUAACCAUUUGUGUUCAAGAGGAGGGUCGGAUCAAGAAGGAAAAAGAAGUUAACACACUGCACCUCAACACCAAUGCUCCCAAACGUCACUUUUCUAAGCCUGGCUCACAUACUUCUGCGAACAAAGAGAACUCUAAGGCUAAUCUUCCUCCUAAAAGGUCUGGCACUUUAAAAACCAACAAAACUACUGUCUUUAAAUGUUACUUCUAUGACAGAGCAGGUCACAUGAAGAGAGAGUGCCACAAAUACAAGCAUUGGGUAAAGAAAAAGGGAAACAAAGGUAAGUCUGAAACUGUCCUAGUUUGUUUUGAGUCUAACAAUGUCAUAGUUCCUACUAACUCAUGGUGGAUUGACACUAGUUCAUCAAUCCAUGUUGCCAAUUCCUUGCAGGACUUCGCAAACUAGAGGAAACCAAGUAGAGACCAAGACCAUAUGUUCGUAGGGAAUGGGAAGAGAGUACGAGUCCAAGCAAUAGGCUCAGUUAGACUCCAAUUAGUUUCAGGCUUUCCUUUAAUUUUGAAAGAUGUUGCUUUUGUACCUUCCAUGAGAAGGAAUUUGAUUUCAGUUUCUAGAUUAACUAAGGAACUUUUCAGUUUUGUUUUCUCUGAAGUUGGAUUUGAUUUAGUCUUUGAUAAAAAUUCAGUGGGCAAUGGCUCUUUGAUUGAUGGUUUGUAUUGUUUAAAUCUUUCCAGUAACAAUGUUGUUUUCACCACUGAAACCAUAGGACAGAAACGAUCACUAGAUAACGAGAAGUCUACAAAACUAUGGCACAAAAGAUUGGGUCAUAAGAAAAGAAUGCAAAGGCUAAUUCAAGAAGGAAUUCUUCCUUCCUUGAAUUUUGCAGACUUCACUGAGUGUGUUGAGUGCAUAAAGGGAAAAAUAACUAACUCUAGAAAAUUGGGAUCCACACGCAGUCAACAACUCCUAGAGAUAAUUCACACUGACAUUUGUGGUCCUUUUCCAGUUGAAACUCUAGAAGGACAUAGGUACUUCAUCACUUUCAUUGAUGAUUUCUUUGGAUUUUGCUAUCUCUACCUAAUCCAGACCAAAUCUAGUGCCUCUGAAGUUUUUAAAAUAUUUAAAACUGAGGUUGAAAACCAACUUGAGUUAAAGAAUAAAGUGUUAAGAUUUGAUAGGGGAGGAGAAUACUAUGGCAAGUAUGAUGAGCAAGGUAGACAUCCAUCACCAUUGGCUCGAUAUCUUCAAGAUUGUGGGGUAGUUGCUCAAUACACAAACUCUGGAAUUCCUCAAGAGAAUGGAGUGUCAGAAAGAAGGAAUAGAACCUUGAAGGAUAUGGUGAGAAGUAUGAUUUGCACCACUGACCUUCCAAGUUUUUUUAUAGGGAGAUGCUGUCAAGACAGCGAAUCAUAUCCUAAAUAGGUGUCCGAGUAAAUCAGUGCCUAAAACACCUUUUGAGCUAUGGAACAAAAAGAAGCCCAGCUUAAACCAUCUGCAUAUCUGGGGUUGUAAAGCUGAAGCCAAAGUUUACAAUCCAAACUUGGGAAAAUUGGAUCCCAAGACUGUGAGCUGCAGGUUUAUAGGAUAUGUAGAGAGAUCAAAGGGUUUUCGUUUCUAUUGGCCCAACUAUACCAAUAGAGUUGUUGAGACAGGAAAGGCUAAGUUUCUAGAAUAUGAUGAGGACAAUGAGGGGGCAAACAAGAAUUUUACUUUUGAUGAAGAAGGAGAAAUAAGAGCAGAAGAUUGCAAUCCAAGCAAUAUUCCUAUCAUAACCUAUGAGUUAACUCAAACUUUGUCACAACCUGAGGCACCAAUUGAGCUUAGGAAUGAAAACCAAAAUGCUGGGGAAAUACAAGAAGAACUAAAUGAAAUGGACCUGCCCAUAGAACCACAACCAUAACAUCAAGAAAUUAGAAGAUCCACAAGAGAAAGGAGAGCUAAUACAUUGCCAUAUUUUGUUUAUUUGAAUGAGACAUAUUCUGAUGACUGUGAUUUUAAUGACCCAAUGAGUUACAAUGAGGCUAUAACUAGUGAACAUUCUAAAUUGGAGUCAAUGGAAGCCAAUAAAGUGUAGGAGUUAGUUGAAUUGCAGCAAGGAAUGAAGCCUAUAGGGUGUAAAUGGGUGUUCAAAACCAAAAGGGACUCAAAGGGCAAUAUUGAGAGGCAUAAGGCUAGACUUGUAGCUGAGGGUUUCACACAACAAGAGGGGAUUGAUUAUACCGAAACUUUCUCCCCAGUUUCAACCAAAGAUACCUUUAUGAUUAUUAUGGCACUUGUGACACACUUUGACAUGUUUUUACAUCAAAUGGAUGUAAAAACAGCCUUUCUAAAUGGUGAAUUAAGUGAGGAGAUUGUUAUGCAGCAACCAGAAGGAUUUGUAGAAGAAGAUAGUAAGCAGUUAGUGUGCAAACUGAAGAAAUCAAUCUAUGGUUUGAAACAGGCCUCAAGGCAGUGGUAUUUGAAGUUUCAUAAGAUAAUCACAUCAUAUGGCUUUGUUGAGAAUAGGUUGGAUAAGUGCACAUACUUGAAGAACAAUGGGAGUAGAUUUAUUUUUCUUGUUCUCUAUGUAGGUGAUAUUCUCCUUGCUAGUAGUGAUGAGAGCCUCUUAUAUGAAACAAAGAAUUUUCUAUCUAUGAAUUUCGAAAUGAAGGAUCUUGGAGAAGCUUCCUAUGUAACACCCCGACCCCAAAUUUCCCCAAAUUUUACCCUCAUUUAAUUAUUUAAUUAUUUAAGGGUAUUUUAGUCAUAUUUUUAACCGGAGAGAGUUUGGGACCGUGACUUAUAUUUUUGGAUAGGUCGUACUGAGACGAGUUCACAGACACGUAGUGGGCUCGAAUCGGAGUUGUAACGAGAGAGAUAUGGUCAAAAGAAGUCCAGUGGCAUAAUCGUAAAUAUUUCGAAAUGGGAUUUUUUUAUAUAAAAAUCUGGUUUCUCUCUCUCCUCUCUCUCUCUCCCGCGCGACCUCUCUCUCUCUCCUCUCUCUCUCUCCCGUUUGCUGCCGUCGCCUUCCAAGAGGCGCCGGCGCCGCCACAGGGAACCACCGGCCACGGGACCGGUGGCGUUCGAACCGCCGUCGCCCCUCCUUCCUUCCCCGACCGUUCCCCGCCGGCGACGCGGCCUGUGCUGGCCGGAAAAUGCAGAAAACCGCCGGAAAGUCGUCGAAACUUCAACGCCGUCGAUCUCCCUCCUCCGGCCACCAAUUCCGUCGACCCAGGUAUGGAUUUUGAACCUCUCGAGCUGCUCUAGCUGAUGGUUGGGUAGGAUUAGAUCGAUUCUUAGCGUAGGCAACUCAAUUUUCGAAUUGAAAAUCGGCCGAAACUUCGGCCGCCGUGAUCGGCCAUUUCCGGCCACUUUUUGGGGUAGGUCCAAGAACAAAAGUGACUCCAAAUGAGGUGUUUUACCUAGGAUAGGAGUUUGGAGUCUUGGUUCCGAGAUUUUUCGACGAACCAUAAUCGCUUUGGACACCCGAUCUGCCCGCGCGUGUGGCAGCGCGUGGGCGAGGGUGGUGGAGUGACUCUGGGCAGUUUUGAGAUCCUCGUGCCGUCACGAGUGCGUAGGAUUUCGCGGAUCUCAAUUCGGACGUCAUUUGACUAUCGAACGGAUAAUCGCAUAUUAUGCGUUAUCCGGGUUCGAUAGGUUGGGACCGUCGGAUGGUCCCAAAUUUAAUAUAUGUUAAUCUAGGUAUUUCUAGGAUCGUGUAGGAAUUCACGGAUCGUGAAUCGGAGCCCCGGAUGUUCCGAAUAAUAAUUUUAAGUUUAUAUUAUAUAUUAACCGUCGGAUCGUGCGAUCGUGAGAAAUCCGACCGUCCGAUCUGAACCAAACUUGCAGGACAAGUGUCCUAUACCUGGUAGAACCCAUAGGGACUUUCGGAUAUGAAAUUGGAGAUCGUGGGUUCCGCAGGUCCGGUUGACCAGGGUUAGAGUAGUUUGACCCUUGGUUGACCGUGAGUCUCCCGGAGUAAUCUCACCCUUCUAAGGGGGAUUAUCGGAUGCUAGAUGAUUGUGGAGGGUUACACAAUAUAAGAAUUAAUUUAUAUAAAUAUAAUUAUAUGUGGUUGUACAAGGGUACAACAGAGUCUAAAAUGUCAGUUUUGAGUGCUAUACGCACUACCGUAGGUACCUCCUCGAACGUUGGAUUCACUACAAGUACCACCAAGUGAAAGUUAGGUCCCACGUGGCGUAGGUUAUCCGGCGUUGGGACAGACCCCAUACGUGGCGUUGGUUGUACCGGCGUAUGGGGAGCUAUGUAAUAUGAUGUUCAGGUCUCACGUGGCGUAGGUUAUCCGGCGUUGAGACAGACCCCAUACGUGGCGUUGGUUGUACCGGCGUAUGGGGAGCUAUGUAAUAAUGUGUUGAGGUCGCACGUGGCAUAGGUUAUCCGGCGUAUCGACAGACUCCAUACGUGGCGUUGGUUGUAUCGGCGUAUGGGGAGAUUUGUGAUAUGAUGUUGAGGUCCCGCGUGGCGUAGGUUAUCCGGCGUUGGGACAGGCCCCAUACGUGGCGUUGGUUGUACCGGCGUAUGGGGAGUUAUGUGAUAGUAUGGCAUGGUCGCACGUGGCGUAGGUUAUCCGGCGUGUUGACAGGCCCCAUACGUGGCAUUGGUUGUACCGGCGUAUGGGGAGAUUGUAUGUAAUACAAAGAAAUGAAAUAAGGUAUCGCCCAAGUGUGGAAUUGGGUUUUUAGGGAAGAACUACGUGUGGCUUGAUCCCUCAAGGAGGGUACGUAGGCAGCCUAAGGUUAAUAGGUGCAGCCGCAGACUAAAUAUUAGUCAUCUUUUGUAUUUGAAUUGUUUGGUAGUUGUUGGAGAAUUAUUGGAAGGCCGAAGGCCAUUUGUGCGAAUUGCAUGAAAUUAUAUUGUGCAUGCUGCCAGUUGUGGAUAUUAAAUGUGUUUUCAUGCAGGUAUAAAUUUUGGGAAAUGUCCAAUUUAUAGGGGAGGCUCUGCCGAAAUUUCGGCAGGAAUUCCUAUGUCCUAGAUAUUGAGAUUCCUAGAGAUAGAGCAUAAGGGCUGUUAGGUUUAUCGCAGAAAGCUUACAUAGAAAAGGUGUUGAAAAGGUUCAAUAUGAAGCAAAGUAAUGGAGCGGAAGUGCCAAUUUCAAAAGGAGAUAAGCUGAGUCAAGAAGAUUGUCCAAAGAAUGAUUUUGAGAAGGCAGAAAUGAGAGACAAGCCAUAUGCUUCAGUUGUAGGAAGUAUCAUGUAUGCACAAGUGUGUACACGACCAUAUUUAACUUUUUCAAUCAGUGUUUUGGUAAGAUACCAAGCUAAUCCAGGUUUAGUUCAUUGGAAGGCUGCGAAGAAGGUUCUCAGAUACAUGCAAAGGACUAAAGACCAGAUGUUGGCUUUUAGGAGGACAGAUGAAUUAGAAUUAGUUGGCUAUUGUGAUGCAGAUUUUGCAGGAUGUGCAUACACAGCUAGAUCAACUUCUAGUUUUGUUUUUAUGAUGGGAGGUGGAGCUGUUGCUUGGAAGAGUGUGAAGCAGUCGACAAUAGCUACAUCUACCAUGUAUGUAGAAUUUGUAGCUUUUUAUGAGGCUGCAAACCAUAGUAGUUGGCUUAAGAAUUUUAUACAUGAUUUGAGGAUAGUAAGUUCCAUAGAAAGACCAAUUCAGUUGUACUGUGAUAACAAAGCAACAGUUUUCUUCUGUAGAAAUAACAAGAGAUCCUCAGGAGUCAAACACAUGAAAGUUAAGUACCUAUCUGCUAGGGAACUAGUUAGAGAUGGUGAAAUAAAUGUUGAUUACAUAAAUACUACAGAGAUGAUAGCUGAUCUAUUAAACAAGGCAGUGCCUAAUUCAGUUUUUCGUAGGCAUGUCAACAGUAUGGGAGUGCUAUCAAGCUUUGAAGAUGCCUUGUUUUAGUGGGAGUUGUCUUAGAAUGUGUUUUUAUUUUUAAAUGUUUUGGUACUAUGCUUUCAUGUUAUUUGACAAUAUGAAUGAAUAUUUUGACUCUGAUUCUGUUGAAUUUUUGCAAUAUGAGUAAGGAUUGAUUAUAAAUAUUAAGGAGUUCUUUAUAUAUAUGAGUAAGGACUGGUUAUAAAGUGGACUAUUCAUAUAUCAGGAAUGAUACUUCACAGUUUAGCACUUCUGAUAUGUGCAAACAUAACCAUGACUUGCUAGUACUUUAUGUGGAUUUUGUUGCUUGUGGUGAUUGUAGGUGGAUGAUACCAUAUCAAUUGGAUAUCACGUCUGCAAUCCUAUGAGUUGAUGAAAUUUGACACAGAGUUUGAUAUAGAUAUCCUUAUCAAAUGAGCUUUCCAAACUGUGCACAUAAGGAAUCAAUUCUGAGGCAAUAAGGAAGUGUUUUAAAUAGAUGUUGCACUCAAGUGGUGAAAUUGGUACUUAGGUGACGAGGGGUAAAUUUAAAAGAUAUUCAACCAAGAACGCAACAAACUUCACACACUCUAGACCUUGACCAAAUACUCUUAUGACUAGUCAACUGUCAGAUAUGAAUUAUACCAAACAAUAACAUACACAGAGCAUACCAAGAUGUACCUGCAAGCCUAGAGAAUUACUAGUGACAACCUAGACACUAAGAAGGACCCGUCAAUCUAGGCAUCCCCUAUGCUAGCAACAACUAUGGUGAAAGUGUGUGAAGACAACAUAAUCAAGCAAACACCAAACAGUAGAAGAAGAUGACUAGUCAACCGCACAAAUCCAGAUGACUAGUCAACUAUCAAGAACACAAACCCAAAAAAUUUACAGAGAUGGAAACCCACCCAGAAACCCACCAUUGGGAAAAACUGGGGGUUAUCAACCGACCAGGCAAUCCACUAAGCAAAAAGAUUCUUACAAAAAACAUUAGCAAGCUCAAGAAAUUCCUAGGUCUAUUUAGGAAGAUGAGCUAUACCUCCUUUGUGCAAUCUUCUUCUCCAACUUAGCAAAGCUUGAAGCUUAGUUCUUCAUGGCAAUGACAGCUCCUUCUCCAGCUCUUUCAUCCCAUGGCACUAGCUUGCAAGCUCUAACUCAGAUAGAAAUGAAAUUUGGAUUCAUGGAGAAAAUGACUAAUUACUUCAAGAAACCAUACUCUUGAAGAAAUCAAUCUUGAAUCUGACCUAGAUAUAUAUGAUAGAGUGUUUGAUCUAGCAAGAUGAAGUUUUCAUAUUUCAAAUGCAGUUUUCAAAAAGAAACAAUUUGGAAAACUUAAAGAUGAAAAAUAUGAAGGUUACUCUUGAAGAAGAAGCGAAAGUUUGCUAUGAAACUUUCCAAAACUUGUCCCCAAAAGUGACGGCUGCCAAAUGAGGAAUUCUUUGGCUUUUACCAAAAAUUCCUAUGUCAGAAUAGACACAUGGCAGCUGAGAAAUUCGUAGAAAAGGACAAAAAUAUGGUUAAGCCUCAGCUGGAAACAAUGAGCUGGAAAUCCUAAUUGAAACAAAGGUUGACUAGUCAUACGAAGGAAAUAUGACUAGUCAUAAUCUUCAGAAAUUUAAUGAAUGCAAUGUAGUGUAAUGCAGAAUUUACCUUUGUCAAAUGCAUUGUUUUUCAUCAGAAUGUAGGCAGAUAAGAACACCUAGAGAAGUAAUUCUUAAUCUAAACUUAAAGCUUGGGCAACUACAAUGAUUGUCCUAUUACAAAAUUGUCAAGGGAAGCCAAAAGAAAAAACUCAAAAUGCAUACAUUAAUAAGUCGGAGAAUGUAAUACCCUAAUUGAGUUUGCAUCUAAGGCACAGAAUUUGUUAAGGAAUAAAACUGGAAAGUUUUUAUUUGAUUAGCCGGAUACGUGGAGGUGAAGAAGGAAUGAAAUAAAAGGAGAUAUCUAUCCUAUUCUGUCAUGGAUUCUAGAAGUGAUUAAGGCAUGAUUUAGGUAAUCUUUUAUGGGCAAGAAACCUAGGUCAAAUCACCUAAAAAUACAAGGUUUAGGUCCCCGAUCUCAUAAUACACAUUCAAGUAUACAAAUCCUACCCCAUAUUAGGAGUGCAUAAGGCGUGUAGAAAGAUUGGAAGACCUUUGCUUGCUGCACAAGAUCUUUUCUGUCGAAUUCUCAUGGCUUCUCAAGGUUAGUACUUAUAGCUUGUUUGAUCUUAAAGUCUAACAUAUUUGACAAAUAUAAAGCAUGCCACUUAUGAACAUUUGGUAUAUAUAUAUAUAUAUUGUGAAAUGUAAAAGUAAAAACAUAAAGAAACCUUGUAUUUUGACUCCACUAUAACCAAUCAACUUGGUGAAGGCGUAAGUAAUGGCCAUGGCCAUCCACCCUCCAAGCAACAAUUAGAGUUGUUUGGAAACAAGACCUUGCCGCAGAAGUUUUGCCUGAAACUGCCCCUACACCACAAAAACCACCAAUGACAAACUAGACACUGCAACCACGACAAUAACCCUCACCUUGUAAUUGGUGAUGAACGCAGCUGCCAAUAGUGGGACUAAUCCAUCCACCAAAAACGAAAACGCAGACGCCACGCUGGCUUGAAAUGGACUCGGCAGCUUCUCUUUUGCUUUUGCAAUUUCUUUUUCAUUGAUAAUGUUAUUGUUUUCUCUCUUAAUUUGAGCCGUCUCUGAGUCAAGUUGAGUGUACACAGCCACAAACUCUCCCAUUGCCACGCUGCAUGCCCCAGCAACUAAUUCGGCGAAUCCAGCAAGCAGGAUGGCUUUGAUGUCUCUUUUGACUGCCCCUACGCCCAUCAUCACCGAAGCAAUAGGGACCAAUCCAUCGUUUGGCUCCCAAAAUCAUAAUGAAGUUUCUACUUGAUAAAAAAAAUAAAAUUAUAAAAUGUUCUAGUUAUUACAAUGAAUUCUGGGGGUAUCCCUGUGAAUUAUUUUUAUUUUUAUUUUUAUUUUUAUUUGAAAAAAGGGAAUAUCCUUAGCAUCAUACUGUAGCUGUAUGGGUUUGAAAUUUAAUAUUACAUGUUAAAGAAAAAUGGAGACAUACAGUGUGUAAAAAGAUUACAAAUUUAUUGUAAUCACCUUAUUUACCACUAGUUUUCUAAACGAAAAAAUAAUGCAUUAAAUUUCUAUUGAAAACUUGAUAUAGAUACAAAUAAUGUGUGUCAAACGACUAUAUAUAAUGCAGUUGUAUGAAAGAUGGAUAUCAAGAGAAAGAGGAUUCUAAUCAAGGGCCAAAAGCAUAAGAUAUCAUGUUUUUUUGUUGGUUUUGUAAUGGGUAUUUUUGUAACAAAGUGGGCUGGGCAGGUUUUGGGUUUUUUUUGGGUGAAAAAUUGUGUUUGGGUAUCUAGUAAUAUUAUUGCAGUGGCAGUUUUUUAAAUUGUACAAUUUUCAAGGGUUGUUUGUAUUGGUAAGUCCAUUGAAUAGUCCAACUGGACUGUUUUAUAGAAUUUGGAUUGCAUAGGAUUUUUCUAUAUUUUGGGAUCUAUGUUUGGGCUUAAAUGCGAAGCUCAUGUAUUAUUCAGCCUUGUAAAGAGCUAUCUCAUAUAAAUACCUCUAAUUUUUUUCUACGAUCUUUAAGUAUUUUAUUUUGUGCAUGAGUUGUUUGUGAUGUUUCAUGUGUGAAGGAAGUGUAAAGUGUAUGUUGCUGCUUAUGUUGACACGUGUCUACUACCUACAAAGGUGAGAGUGCACCAUAAUGUGACAUGUGGAGCUUUGGGAAAGGUGACAGUUGACAGGACCCGCCCUGGAUUCCUCAGAACCCGAGACGAAUCUUGUGGAAAUUCCAACAUCACACUGAUGUUGGGCCCAUUUACUAAAAUUAUAUCCUAUUUUCCGAAGUUAAGGAAAAGGGUACGAGAUUUUUUGCCGAAAUUUCGACUGUCUUCCCUGUAAAUUGGCUUUCCCCAAAAUUUCAACCUAUUCAAAAUUCACAAUUUAAUAUCCACAACUGGCAACAUGCACAAGUUAACCUUCAAGCAGUUUACAAACUAAGCCUCUGGCCUUUAACAAUUCAAACUGAACCACCAACGAAGCUCUUAACUAGGCCUCUGCCCUUUAACAAUUCAAACCAAACCACCAACGAAGCUCUUAAGUCCAAAUAAUGAGAUUUAACAAAGCAAAUAAAGAACUCGAAUUAAGUUAUGCAUGCCCAUCACAAUUAACAUAAAAUAAAUUCUCAAUUUCCAUCAUACGACGUUUAGCAACCCAACAGUAACACAAGUAGUUUAAGCACUCGGCCCCAUAUCCUAGAUCAACAUAUACGAAAUUGACAAUGGUCCAACGGUUCAAGCAUAUCAAACCCGGAAAUCGCACAAUAGGCGAAAUCCGUUUGAGACUCAAACGAUAUUCAUAUUGAAAUCCGAGCACACCUACGCACUAGUGACAAUUAGGGAAUGGCACUGGGAUACAAACCCCUCUGCUACGUACCCCACGCACCGCCACAUGUGUCGGAAGCGCGUGGGUAUCCUAAGCGAUAGCGGCUGCCGGAAAAACUCAAAAUUAAGGUCCUAGCUUCCUACCCUGGAUGUAAAACCUCAUUUGGAGACACUUUUGUUCUUGGCCCUACCUCGAAAAAUGACCGGAAGUGGCCCGAAUCUCAUCCCGAAAUCUGGCCAAAUUUUGGGUUACAAAUCGAGUUGCCUACGCUAGAAAUUGAUCAAAUCCUAUCCAACCAUCAGCUAGAACACAUUGAAAGGAUAGAAAAGCAUACCAAAUUCGAAGAAACUGGUGGCCGGAGGUGUCCAAACGAGCUCUGCGAAAUUUCGUCAAAAACUGUCCAAACAGCCCUAUUUCGUGGCAGUUUCCGGCCACCACGAUGGCGAAUCGAGGCUGAGAUGGCUGGGACUGGAAGAGGGAAGUGUGGUGGUUCUAACGAGACCGGUCUUGUUUGAAUUCAUGGCCGGAGUUGGGAGAAAUCACCAUUUGAAGUUGGCUCGUCCAAAACUGCCCAAAGAGAAGAAAUCUGAGUUUUAAAAAAACUGAACUUCAAAAUAUUUACGGUUAUGUCACUGAAUUUCUUUUGAUCGCCAUUUCUUCGUUACAACUCUAAUUCGGGUCCACUACGUGUCCACGGACUCGUUUUGACGUGCUCUACACAAAGAUAUAAUCAGAAAUUUCCAAAUUCCUUCCCAAACUUAAAAUGAACUUUUUGCCCCUUAUAAUAUUAAAUAAUCUUUUAAUUUCUCAAAAACCUUAAUUAAUUCAAAUCAUUUUAUUUUAAUGUUUAUUUCAAUUUAUUUCCUCAUUUAAAUUUAUUCUCUCUUACUUUAAUUAUUUUAACACUUUUUCAGACCGGGAUGUAACAAUUUCACCAAAGUCUCCCCGAUCAACAAGUCAACAUGCAAACAUAUUAAAAUAUUCCGAGGUAACAUUGUCUUUUUCUUUAAUAAUUUAGUAUUUAAUUAUUAGUUUAGGACCGGGUCGUUAUAGCGGUGGUUUCUGCGUGGCUCUCUCUUCACAAAAUCAUUGAAGCAGAUUUCCUACUGAAAUUUGUAACUUUGUAACAGAUUUGGGUCAUCUUACCAAAUAAUUGAAGUAUUUUCUUAUUGGAAUUUUUAACUUUGUAAUUGACAGGAUCAGAUUACCCAAGAAGGUGAUGACUGGUCCACUGUUACAUUCUUUUUGUUCCAGUUAUUACUGUGGAAGGGAUUUGCGUUUUCUUUGCAAGUGAAAGAAAAUGGAAAAUUUGGUUCCAGGUAAUGUGUAAAGGUUUUUUGCUAAAACAAGAAAAAAAAAGAAAAUAAUAAAAUAAUUUGGCUUCCGGCAAUGUGUAGAAUUCAAUUCAAGGUUGCGGCCCUUUCCUUUGCAAUUUGCAGGAUUACCUUCAAAUAUUUAUUUAUAAAAAAUAUAAAAAAAUAAAAAAAACGAAAAUUCAAUCUUAAAUAGUUCCCGUCAACUAAAAAUUCUUUGGCAACCAAUCACAAUCAACGUGGGUGGGAAAAACAAUUGAAAAAAAGAUUAAAUAAAAAACUUUUAAGAUGCGCAAAACACCCCUCCACUGCUAAUUGUUCAUAUUCUCCAGCACUUGAUUGAUUAGUCCGGACAAAAUUGUCAUGGCUCCGGGAUGCAACAUCAACCGGCCUGCGUCAUGGCUCUGUUCUGCCUCAUUAUCAGUUCCCCCCCAAAAUUCCAGAUAUUGUUCCACUGCUAAUCGUUCACGUAUAGUACAGUCCCUGAAAAAUGCAUCAACAACUCCCCCUGAAAGAUCCUGAUUUGUUUCCAAAUCAUACAAAUGAGGAUCCGGAUUAUCCAUAUUUUCCUUCAUGACUUUGUCCCACUCGACUCUAGAUGAACCUCUGUUUUCUUCACUCUCACAAAAUCAACAUCAUCAGGUCUUACAAGAAUCGAUACGUGGUCACCGCCUUCCAAACAAAGCACAUCGUUUGACAAUUGUCCCUGCCAAAGAUAAUCGUCUUCAGGUGUAUUGUAAGUUUUUACCGAGGCAAAUGCUAUCCAGGUGUGCAAAGCAGUUUGUUUGGUAAGAUUUCUAACGAUAAUGCCAAUACGACCUUGAGAAUCUUCAAGUUUUGGCUCGUCCGAAGAGUAAACGAAGCAUAUAGUCAACCCUUUUAAAUCACAACCCAUGAUUCCUUGAGGAACUUCAAAAAAGGCGAUAUUGUCCACAUGAUUGACGAAUUUGAACCACUUAGGAAUAUCAUAAAUUCCAUUCAAAUAAAUUCCACCAAAUCCGCAAGAAGUCCAUCUCUGCACACCAGAAGCAAGACAUUCUUAUACAUGCAUGCAUAAUCAUUACAUGGGCCGCAUCUGCAGCUGUGACUCUGUGUGUGUGUGUAUGUGAGAGAGAGAGAGAGAGAGAGAGAGAGAGAGAGAGAGAGACCUGUAGGAUGCUGUUCCUAAAAUCGGCAGUCAGAUUGGUACAGCCUUCCAUAUGAAUCCUUGUCAUGGAGUUUAAUGACUCAUCCAAGCCUGGAACCUCAGUGAGUUUGAACGAAUCACUGAGAUACAACUCUCUCAUAUUCCACAUUUUUGAAAAAUCUGGAAUUGUUUCCAAUCCUGGGCAGUCACUUGCUUUCAGAACAUACAAAUUGGUUGGUAAAUCUGGGAUUCCACGAAGGUUUUCGCAUGCAUUUACACACAAGACUUUGAGCUUUGAAAGACCAGCGAGACUUGGUAGGCUACAAAAGUCAUUGUCUCCAAGAAGCAGAUCUUCUAAGGAAAUUAGGCUACAUAGAUCCUUAGGGAUUGCAUCCUCAGUUAAACUGCAGCCUGCAUCCAAAGUUGAGAUAACUCUAUUAAAGAGUUUAAGCCAUGUAACGAAAGGGGUAAAAGAUGGAAUUUCAAAAUUCUCACCAGAUAGAGAUAAAAUUCUCAACUUCUUCAAUUUUACUAUGGAAGAUGGAAUUUGUCUGAUGGCUGUGCAAUCCGCUUUCAGAGUUGUCAAUGAUACCAUGUCCCCUAAGCCAUUAGCCAAGUCUUCAAAUCUUGAACAACCAUUCAGUAUAAGAGUUUCAAUAGAAUUGGAUUUAUAGAAAUUCGGUGGGAGAUCCCUUAGCAUUUCGCAGUCUUCAAAAUUUACCAAAGAAAGUCUUUCAAGAUGCUCGAUGGAUGAGUGGACCUUAUACAAGCGCUUACAACCUUUCAAUAUCAACAUUUCAAUAUUUGGGAAUUUUGAAAAGUCUAGUGGUUUUCUUAUGUGAUUAUCAUAUUCGACAUAAUUUUGAGAUGGGCUGUUAGAAUUCUAUGGUUGUUUUGUAUAUUUUAGAGAAAUGGAGAAUUUGCAGAGAAGAAGAGAAAAAUGAGAAGAGACUGUUGCGUUGCAUUUUCACAAAUAGUUGGCUUACAUAGUGUACUUGGUAGAGAAGAGAGAGGAGAGAUUCUCCUCUAACAGAAUUGCAGCUAUCACCCUAUGAGGUGUUUACACUUGUCAUCCCAAAACUAAGCUAGAGAGAAUCCACCUGGACUAUGAUCCAAUGGUUCUAAUUACAUCACAAAUAAAAUAAACAUAAAAUGAUUGUAAUAGGGCUUGGUGACUUCAGCUUCAAGAAAGCAGCUGCAGGAUUACAUUCCAACACUCCCUUCUAAUCCUUUAGCUGAUUUCACACCAAGUAGGCUUCUUAAACUAAUGAAGCGAUCCUUAGGCAAAGCCUUGGUCAAAAUAUUUGCAAUUUGAUCUUCUGUCUUGCAGUAGAUUAGCUCAAUUUCUUUUGCUUGAAUAGCUUCCCUGAUGAAAUGAAAUUUUCGACUGAUAUGUCUAGUUUUCUGGUGAUGAACUGGAUUCCUUGCCAUUGCAAUAGCAGAAGUGUUAUCACAUAGGAUUGGUGUACCUUCUACUUGUUCUUCACCAAAAUCCUCAAGCACAAAUCUUAGCCACUUAGCUUGUGAAGUUGCUUCUGCAGCACUCACAUACUCAGCUUCUGCUGUGGACAAAGCCAUUGUGUUUUGCUUGAUAGAAGCCCAAGAAAACAUGCCUGAGCCUAGUGUGAAAGCAUAUCCUGAGGUGCUUCUCAUAUCAUCCUCACUUCCUGCCCAAUCACUGUCACAAUACCCUAUUAGAGUAGUUAUUUUCCCUUUCACAAACUCAAUGCCAAAAUCAAGUGUGCCCUGUAUAUAUCUCAAAGUUCUUUUGGCAGUUCCCAUGUAAUGACCCAAACCUAAAAUUCAUAUUUAAUUAGUAAUUUAUUAUGAGGAAAGACAAUUUUGCCCUUGGAAUAAUUUAUCAACGAAAAGUUGACUUUUUGACUGAGAAGGAAUUUGACAAUUUCACAUACACCGUUGCGUAAAGCACAACGAAAUGAGUUCAUACACACGAAGUGGGCUCGAAUCGGAGAUUUAACGAAGAAAAUACGGUUAAAAUAACAUGAGGGGCAAAAUGAUAAUUUGAAAAAUUAGAUUUUAAACCCUCACUCUCUCUCUCUCUCUCUCUCUCUCUCUCUCUCUCUCUCUCUCUCUCUCUCUCUCUCUCUCUCUCUCUCUCUCGCUCUCUCUCUCUCUCUCUCCCGUCGCUCGACCUCCUCCUCCGAUUCAUUUUUGUGACGCCGUCGCCGCCACAGACCACCACCGGCCACGAGACCGGUCUUGUCCGAACCGUCAUCUCCUCCUCUCCUCGUCCCACCCAGUUUCCGUCGCCGUCAGCCCCUCCAGCCGCUGAAAACUGCAGAAAACCGAGCGGGUGUGACCGGAAUUUCACAGCCGUCGUUCUCCCUCAUUUCUCAACCAAAUCGGACGAGCCAGGUAUGGAUUUUGAACCUCUCGAGCUGUUCUAGCUGCCUGUUGGGUAGGAAUUAAUCGGUUCUCAGUGUAGAUAAUGGAUUUUCGAACUGGAAAUUCGGCCGGUUUUCGGCCUCCGUGUUCGGCCACUUCCGGUCAGUUUUUGGGGUAGGUCCAAGAACAAAAGUGGUUCCAAAUAUGGUGUUAUACCUAGGGUAGGAGUUUGGAGCUGUGAUUUUGAGAUUUUCCGGCGAUGCGUAAUCGCUUUAAACACCCAGCGCUGCCGGCGCGUGCGGCGGCGUGUGGGUGAGGGUAGUUUAGUGGCACUGUAUCUUGAUACGAUCCUUAGGUUGUCACGAGCGUGUAGGAAUUCACAGAUCUCAAUUUGGAUACCGUUUGAGCCUCGAACGGAUUUUCCAUAUUGUGCGAUUUUCGGGUUCAAUACUGUUGAGCCGUUGGAUCGUAAUCAAUUUUAGAUAUGUUACUCUGGAUAAUUAUAGAAACUUGUAGAAUUCGACGGAUCGUGAAUCGGAGCCCCGGAUACUCCGACAUCGCGAACCCUAGGGCUAGGGUAUAGAAAUUAUGCGAUUACACGAUCGUGAUCAAUCCGACCGUCCGAUCGACACCAAUAUCCUCGGGACAUGUGUCCUAGAUAUAGUGGACCUUCUAGCGGCUUCCGGAUCAUAUUGUGAGGUCAUGGACCCGUGGGGUCCCGGGUUGAUCUUUUUGGGACUUUAGCGCUUUUUGAGUCCCAAGAUACCGCUAAACUAUCUCACGUGAAAGGAAACCUUUUAUGGGCAUAGGGAUAACUUUAAAUUGACGCACAUACUUUUAGGAGCCGGGGGUUAGGAUUUUUAAUUUAAUACUAUAUUGUAUUAAUAGAAUAUUAUGGUCAUUGAAUCAGGCACCCGGGCACCAAUUGACCCGCAAGAGGGACCUUCAAGAGGUCUAGCGAGCUCGGACUACCAGUGAGUGGACUCUUUGUUUUAAUAAAUGAAUUUAAGCAGUUCAGUUUCAAUUAUAAGCUGUUUUAUGCUUUUAAAUAUUUUAUUUUGCAUGCUGCCGAGUGGAUAUAAGAAAAGAAAUUCUAGUUAAUUAUCAGAUAAAUGACAGCAGAAUUUUAAAGGUUACAGAAAGUUAAUUAUUCAACAGUUUUGCUUCAGAAACUUUAUAUUUUCUUAAACCACCUUGUACCCAGAUAUUAAAUGUUGCCUUCGGAUUGUAUUGGUUGCCUUCGGUUUAGUCAGCAUGCUUGACAGUUGCCCUACGAGUUCCUUGGUACUCGAACUCGUGUGGAGCGAGUAAUGCGAAUAAAGGUAGACUACGGUUUCCUGAAUCCUGCGAGUUACGGCUCGGACUGACCUCGUGUCACUGAGACCUGCGAGUAUGUGUCACCCAUGGUGAUGCAAGGAAUUGACGGAGAUAAAGAAUUGACGGAAAUAAGGGUACACCUAGGUGAUAGUUUUAAACUGCUUUCAAAAGUGAUGUUGACCAUGAAUAUGAUUGGUUUAUAUACAAGUAUAAUUAUAUACGUGCAUUGAUUUCAUAAAUAAAGAAAAGAAGUUAGUUUGUAUAACUGUUUUCACAGUGGGGUUAGUAUGUUCAUAUGUUAUUUUCUAAACUUUGUUUUGGGUCCACUCAUCCUUUUUCAUGUUUUGCGCCCCCAGGCAGUAGACGUGCACAAGAAUCCACCACCGGGCCGUUGUCCAUCUUCCGUGCCUUUCUUUUGAUGUAGGAUUUUUGUUUUGUAAAGGAUUAACUCCUUUGUAAAUUCUUAGUAGUUGCUCUGAUGUUUUGCCCUAGACUGAGACUUGAACUGUUGGAAUGUAUAUAUAUGUAUGCUGGCAGUUAGUUGUAUAUAUAUACUUAUUUUGGCAGGUGUAAAUGAUUUGGUAUUGAGCCAGUUACAAGGGAAACUCUGCCGGUUUUUCGGUAGACGUCAAUCUUGUUAUUUUAUCAUGUUUUGUAUAGAAGGGCAAAUGGGUCAUUUGUGCCCGACAUUCGCCAGGUGUCGGACACGCACAGGGUCCGGCUCGGAUUCCAAAGUGAAAUUUGGAUCGGGUCCUGUCAUCCCAUGUGUUUCUUUGUGGGAUUGUGCAUGAAUCUAGCAAGUAAGCUAGAUGCAAACAUUACAUCUGCUCUUGUAGCAGUCAAAUAAAGCAAGCUCCCUACUAUCUGUCUGUAUUCACUUUCAUUUGCUGCUUCACUUUCAUCAUCUUUGCACAAUUUCUCAUUCACCACAAGUGGAAUUGCCACUGACUUGCAGUCUUUCAUUCCAAACUUGUCAAGAAGUUUCAUUGCAUAUUUCUUUUGAUGAAUGAAAAUGUGCCUAUCUGUUUGUACGACUCCCAUGCCAAGAAAGUGAUGCAACAAACCCAAGUCUGUUAUCUCAUAGUGUUGCAUCAUAUCUUACUUAAACUCUUCAAGCAGUUUGGAACAACUAGCAGUAUAGAUAAUAUCAUCUACAUAAAGUGAGACAAUAAUAAUACCUGAAGCAUCAUUGGUUUUGACAUAGAGAGUAGCUUCACUAGUGCUCUUUUUAAAACCUGCGUUGUUGAAGUAGGCAUCUAUCUCAUCAUACCAGGCCAUUGGAGCUUGUUUCAGUCCAUAUAGAGCCUUGUUAAACUUGUACACUUUGGUUUCUUUAUUCUCUUGAACAUAGCCUUGUGGCUGUUCAACAUAGACUUCCUCUUUUAGAAUGCCAUUGAGAAAGGCAGACUUCACAUCCAGCUGAUACAAACUCCAUUGCUUUUGUACAGCAAGAGCAAUCUAGGUUCUGAUGGUGUCUAGCCUUGCCACUGGGGCAAAUGUUUCAUUGUAAUCGAUUCUAGGCUUUUGUGAAUAGCUUUUAGCCACUAGUCUAACUUUUUUUUUUCUGCACAGUGCCAUCUAGAUUAAGUUUAGUCUUGUAGACCUACUUGACAUCAAGUACAAGUUUGUUAAAUGGUUUGUCAACUAAUUCCCAUGUAUGGUUCUUCUUAAUCAUCUCUAAUUCAGCCUUCAUUGCAUUUCUCCAUGAUUCAUCCAGGUCAGCAUCUUCAAAGCUUUCAGGUUCCACGAUACACAUGUUACAUUGUGCCAUGAUUUCAUUAAUGCUCCUCCACUUGUGAGGUGCGUGAUCGAAAACUUGAGAUCUGUCAAGUAUUUUCUCAUCUUGAGGUAUUAUAUCUUCUUCAACUUGCAUUUGAGUAUCCAAGAACUGAGUUGGUUCAUCAGAUACCAUUUGUUCAUGUAAUCUGUACCCCUUUUCACAGAGUCCAUAGCCUACAAAAAUGCAUUUGUGACUGUUUUCUUCCAACUUGUGCCUUAGUGCUGAAGGGAUAAGCACAUGACAUAGAGAUCCAAACACUUUCAAGUGUGCAAUACCUGGUUUUCUUCCAAUGUAAGCCUCAAAUGGUGCCACCUUCUUAAGAGACUUAGAAGGACACCUGUUGAGUAGAUAUACUACAGUAUUAACAGCUUCUGCCCAAAACUCAUAAGGAAGACCCUUUUCAUGUAGCAUAGACUUUGCCAUCUCUAUCACAGUCCUAUUCUUUCUCUUAGCUACUCCAUUUUGCUGAGGAGAAUAUGCUACUGUCAGCUGCCUUUGUAUUCCAAGCUCACUGCAAUACUCAAGAAACUCAUUUGACAUGAAUUCUCCACCUCUGUCACUUCUUAGGCAUUUCACCUUAUAUCCACUUUGCAAUUCUGUCAUAGCCUUGAACUUCUUGAAGCAUUCAAAAGCAUUUGAUUUAUUUCUAAGAAAAUAAACCCAAGCCAUUCUUGUACAGUCGUCUAUGAAUAACAGGAAGUACCUGUUUUCUGACAUGGAUGCAAUUUGCAUUGGUCCACAGAUGUCUGUGUGUACCAAUUCUAGUGGAAACUGAGCUCUCCAAGUGGAUUCUGCAUGGAAUGAGUCUCUAUGUUGCUUUCCUAGUUUGCAGCCUUCACAGACCUUAAGAUCCUUUUCCAAACUAGGCAAGCCAUGAACCAUAUCUUGAUUUUCAAGUAGCCUAAUGCUUUGAUCAUUAAGAUGUCCCAUUCUCUUGUGCCAAGUUUGCAAGCUGUGUGUUACACUUGCUCUUAGCAUCAACUGAGUAAUUGGCACCAUUGUGAUAGGAAAGCACCUGUUGCUAGUCAUUUGAACUUUAGCAGUAGGAUUUUGUCGUGCCCAGUCAUCGAAAAUUGUCACCAUUCCCUUUCCAAAUACCAGACAAUUUCCAUGCUCCAUCAUCUGCCCAACACUAAGCAAAUUUUCUUCUAAUCCAGGCACCAACAUCACUUCUUGAAUGUGCUUUCUGCCCACUUUGGUUUCUUUCACAAGUGUGCCUUUCCCUGCAACUUGGACUGUCUUUCCAGUCCCCAUUUUCACCUUGGAAUUUACAUUCCUUUGAAUAUCCACCAAUAGCAUUUCAUCUCCAGUCACGUGGUUACUGCAACCACUGUCAACAUACCAUGAGUUGUUCAUCUUCACAUCUGUCACAACAUUGCAAGCAUAAAACAAAGUUCCAGUUUCUUCAAUCUAGUUUGCAUAAUUCACCUUCUGUACAGGUUGAUUUCCAUGGCAAUCUCUGAGUAUGUGUCCAAACUUUCCACACCCUUUGCAUUUUGGCUUUCCUUCAAACCAGCACUUGCCAUAGUGCAGUUUCUCACAAUGCUUGCUGGGUGUUUUGGUUCCUUCAUUUGAUGCAUUUGAUUUGGGAGCAGAAUUAGACUUGUUACUCCAAUUCUUUCCAUUUGACUUCCAGUUCUUCUGGGAUUUGUGAUUUCCAGAAGAACUUCCACUCUCAGAGUUUUUACUCUCUAUAUUCAGGCUAGUAAAAGCCCUUUCUGUGGAGUUUUCAGUAUGCCUAUCUAAUCUGAGCUCAAAGUUCUUCAUAGAUGCAACCACUUCUUGAACUUCAAUAGUGUCAAGAUCCUUAGAAUGCUCAAUCACAGAGCAUAUAGAAUCAUACGAUCUAGGCAAGCUAAUCAACAAUUUCUGCACAACUCUUUCUCUAGACAAUUCUUCACCAUAACUCUUCAUUUGAUUAAUUAAAUCAAACAGUUUAGCGGUAUAAACAGACAAUGGUUCACUAUCCUUCAUACUAGUAUAUUUAAACUCUCUACGUAGACCUUGCAACUUGACACUUCGUACUUGUUUAUCGCCUCUAAACUCCUGCUUUAGAAUAUCCCAAGCACCCUUUGAGGUUUCUUCAUUCACUAUUCUGGGGAAGAUUUGGUUUGAGACUGCACUUUGGAUCAAUCCAAGUGCACGAGCAUCCUUCAUCAAGAUCUCAGCCAUCGUAGACUUCUCCACUCCAGCAGCCUUAAAUCCUUCUUCUUUUUCCUUUCCCUUCUUUGGAUCUGAAGUAUCAAAACCAUUUUCAACCAAAUCCCACAACCCGUGAGAUUUCAAAAUGGUUUUUAUUCGAAUGCUCCAAAACUCAUAGUUUUCUCCAUUGAAAACCGGCGUGUGAAGCUCAGCAGUGCUUGACCCUGCCAUAUUAGACAUCGGAUUCAAACAGAUACGCCUUUUGGAAUGUUGAGUGAGCUCGAUUUCAGCUCAACCAAAUACCAGCUUUCGAUUUGCACAGAUUCACGCCCAACAACCAACUGAACCUGGCUCUGAGGCCAUGUUAGAAUUCUAUGGUUGUUUUGUAUAUUUUAGAGAAAUGGAGAAUUUGCAGAGAAGAAGAGAAAAAUGAGAAGAGACUGUUGCAUUGCAUUUUCACAAACAGUUGUCUUACAUAGUGUACUCGGUAUAGAAGAGAGAGGAGAGAUUCUUCUCUAACAGAAUUACAGCUGUCACCUUAUGAGGUGUUUACACUUGUCAUCCCAAAACUAAGCUAGAGAAUCCACCUGGACUAUGAUCCAAUGGUUCUAAUUACAUCACAAAUAAAAUAAACAUAAAAUGAUUGUAAUUGGGCUUGGUGACUUCGGCUUCAAGAAAGCAACUGCAGGAUUACAUUCCAACACUCUAAAGGACAAUAACGCCAGCACAACCAUAUUAACUUUUUGGGAAAAUCUUUGUACUCUCCAGUGAGCUCUACUCUGCUGAGUUCGAGUAACCUCAGUUUUUUCAUGUUGGUAAAUGCUUGUGCAGUGAAUCUAGUAAAAUCUCGAUAAAUAAAUUGAUUAGAAAAAAUCCAACAAAAUUCAAAAUCGAAUAUCGAUGCAAAUGUAGAGCAACUCCUUCAAUUUCUUCAGUUCCUUGUUAACAAAAGAUACCGAGUUAGAAAAAUGAUUUACAAACAUGAAAAUCCAUGUAUGUAUUAACCAAAAGGUAUAAUUAAUAGUAUUGGACUAUGUUACGCCCUAUAGUUUGUGUUUGCAAACAAAGCACAUAUUUUUUUGUUGGUUAUGCCUAAUUGAGCUUUGAUCUUAAUGGAUAUAAUAUAAGAAAUGGCAACGGGGUCUAGCGAAGUGAAAAAUGAUCUAAACUUGCAGACUAAGGUCUCAUAUUCAAAUGGCACAUUGGUAGUGUGGAUGUGUGAGAACCCCCUCUUUUACUUUGAUUUAGAUUAUCGCUUGUACUGAACAAAAAAAAUAAAGAAAUGGAAAAGGACAUUUUAAUUUAUUAUAGACACGGGAUACAUAUGCUUCUCUUGCAUGAUGCAUUCUAAAACUGUAUUUGGAAAGUACUUACAGAUUCAUCGGUCAUUACAUAUGUUACGUCUUCACGUUUCCACAAUCUACUAAAUUUUUCAGGGUGACCGUGGGCAUUUUCAAAAAUGAUCUCUUUUCCCAUGUCCCGAAGCAAAUCAUGCAUCAUCAGCUCCUUUCGCUCACUAACAGUUACAAGGCACCGUUCAAUGAGGACACUGAUUCCUAUCGUUGCAGAAAAGCCACAUCCAUCUAAUAUUUGUGUGACACAGUCCCCGUCCAUUCCAAUAAAGAAACAAGAUAUAUCAAGGAAUAUCUUUCUCGUUGUAAGAUCAGGUAGCCUAUCAAAGCUUAUUCUGAGUAUUUUUUGAAUAUCUCCAUCAGAAUUUCUUUGCAAUUUCUCCAAAUGGCUUUCCCACUCCGCUAUGGAUCUUUUAAUCAGAAAAGACCCCACUACUCGAAGUGCCAGAGGCAAUCCUUGACAGUAACGAAUUACACGUUUUGAGAGGUCAAGAUAUUCUUGAUUAGGAUAACCACUUUCAAAGGCAUGCCUACUAAAGAGCUCUAGAGCUUCUUCCUCAUCCAUUUCUUGAGCCAUGUAUGUGCUAUCCACUCGAACUUGCUCUAGCAAAUGUUUAUUUCUUGUUGUUAUAACAAUUCUACUUCCAGGACCAAACCAAUCGCGAGCUCUAGCUAUUGCUUUUAGUUGCUCUAGAUCAUCUGCAUCGUCAAUUAUGACAAGUGCUCUUUUACAGCAAAGUCUUCUUCUUAUCAUAUCGACCCCUUCAUCAACAGAACCAACCUCUAUGCCCUUGCUUUUCAAGAUAUCAUUUAGAAGUUGUUCUUGCAAACCAACCAGACCAUUACUGCGAUGGUUUGCAAAUACUUCCCUCACGUCUGCAAGGAAACUCCUACCUUCAAAGAUACGUUCAAAUUUGUUAUAAAUGGUUUUGGCAAGCGUUGCUUUUCCAAUGCCGCCCAUCCCCAAAAUAUCAAUCAUGCGAACAACAUCGUUCAGCCGAGAAGUAAUUCCAACAAGGUGUUCGAUGUCUAAUUGGUAUUUUCUGUACAACUGCUUAUUAACCUCCCCAAGAAUUUUCUUGAUACACUUUGCUUCAUGCCUGGCAAUUAAACAAAGAAGCAGAACUACGAAUCCUUAACUUAAUAAUUUAGAAAGACCAAAUUAUUUUCUUUUUUUUAUACAUAGUUAAGAAUUUAGAUAUAAUUAACAAUUAAGAUUGGGAUUUAACAUUAUCAAAUAAGAAAGAAUGCACAGUUAAAACAUAGUUGGAAAAAAAAAACAAAAACAAAAACAAAAUGGACAGAAAACACAUGGUUGUCAAGGAACUAGAAAUUAGUAAUUACCCAUUGUCAGCAUUUUUAAGAUCUUCACCACACAAAUCUGCAGCUUGAGUGAGAGCAUUUCUCCACCGCUCAUGUUUACCUUCACAGUUUGUGAAAUGUUUGUGCAAAACUACCAGUUUGUUUCCGGACAUCUGAAGGAUCAACAUUAUAGAACAAUGGAAUAACCUGUUGCCCCAAUCUUUCUCUACACUCUGUUGAGAUUAAUGCACAUUUGUGCUAAAGAAAUGUGUGGAGAAAUCUAGAAGCUUUGAGAUGAGCCUAAACUAUUGGAGAAUUAUCUAGAAGAAAGCCACACACUUGUGGUUGGAGUAAAGUCGGAAACCACAUGCAAUCUUGAAGAUUAUUCUAGAGAAAGCCACACAUAUGUGACUGGGAUUGAUCUUCCAAGUCGGUGGAACUUGUGCAAUGGCGGCAACACUUAGCCUAUAUAUAGGCAUGCAACCACAAUGAAAUGUGGAGUAAACCAAUCAACUCCCAAUCUAUGCGGGAGCAAAAAAGCUACCCAAAUCAAACUAGGUUGAGAGCCAAUAAGCUCACCAAUCAAAAGUGUAAGGGCCAAAUAGUUGGUCCAAAUUUUUUGCGAGUGUACAGAAAGCAGACUUGCGCGACGCUGUCCCAUAUUCGUCGCGCAAUCUUUCUGCCCCAAUAAACCCUAAACCCCAAAUUUUGGCGGAAUUACAACAUUGCGCGACGCUGUCCCAUAUUCGUCGCGCAAUUUCAGCAGACCUUUCAUCUUUUCUCUCUCCCUCAAUAAACCCGAAACCCCAAAUUUUGGCGAAAUUACAAAUUUGUGUGACGCUGUCCCGCAUUCGUUGCGCAAUCUCGAUAGACCUUUCACCCCCAAUAAACCCUAAACCCCAAAUUUUGGCGAAAUUACAACAUUGCACGACGAAUACGGGACAGCGUCGCGCAAAGUUUUCACUUUUCUCUCUCCCGCUAAACCCUAAAUCCCAAAAUUUUGGCAGAAUGACAACCUUGCAUGAUUAGACGUCGUAGGGUGGUGACGACUACACAGAGUUCGGAGCCCCUGACUCAGCCGACAUCUGCUGCGACUGCACCAGCACUGAUGGACCACUUGGAAGUUGGUCCCGCGGGGUCCCAGGUACCUGCUUCAUCUGCUUCAUCAGUGGCGCAGCCUGUUAGCCCCAAGCAGCGUCAUCGGCCCGCCAGCACCACCGACACCAGAUCGACUGAUGCAUCGAGGUCACAGCUAAGUAUAGAUUUCCUUAAACUUCAGUCGUGCAUUGGGUCCCAGUGCAAUCUCCUAGUUGUCACGAGCGCGUAGGUCUUUUCGGAUUAGAAUUUGGUUAUCGUUUGAGUCUUGAACAGAAUUUGCCUGUUGUGCAAUUUUCGGGUUGUUAUGUUCGGACCGUUGGAUCGAACUCAAACUCACGUAUGGUGUACCUUGUAUUUCAAGGAUCGUCUAGGAUUCGACAGAUCGUGGAUCGGAGUCCCGGAUACUCCGAACUCGCAAACCCUAGGUCAAGAAUCUUAAUAAAAUUGUACGUGCUUACAAACAUUUGUAUAUUUAAUUAAUUUGUAUGUGUAUUAAUGAACUUGUGCAGAUGUCAGACCUGAUUAGACGUCGUAGGGCGGUGACGACUACACAGAGUUCGGAGCCCCCAGCUCAGCCGACAUCUGCUGCCACUGCGCCAGCACUGAUGGACCACUUGGCAGUUGGUCCCGCAGGGUCCCAGGCGCCUGCUUCAUCGGCUUCAUCAGUGGCGCAGCCUGUUAGCCCCAAGCGGCAUCAUCGGCCCGCCAGCACCACCGACACCGCAUCGACUGAUGCAUCGGGUCACAGCCAGGUAUAGAUUUCCUUAAACUCUAGUUCUUUUUAUUUUUGUUUUUAUUUUUGUUUUUGUUUUUGUUUUUGUGUGUGUAUUUUAUAGUUAAAUUUGUUAUUUAUUUAACAUUAAUGUCAUCUUUCUUUGCAGCCAAGAAGAACACUCGAGGGCCGUGUCGGUAGUUGAAGAUGGCGAAGGUCUCCCGGGUGACCAACAGUCGUAUCAACAUCGGAUACGACGAGCGACAUCUGGCUGCACCGACGGCGGAGUUGCAUAGCUCCUUGGCCCACGACAUUGGUCAUGUCGUUCGGAGCCAUUGCUCGAUGAAAUGGAAGUCUUGGAAGGUCAUGCCUGACGAGAUCAAGACAGAGGUUUGCGGCCAGUUGUCGGUAUGUAGGCCUUUUAAUUCUUUUUCUUUCAAACUUUAUAUUUCUAUUAUUUAAAUGUAUGUAAUUAAUUUAUUGCAGACGAACUACAACUUGGAGGACCUCGACGACAAGUGGUCAACAUACUCUUCUCUGAGAGGUACAAACAGUGGAAGAGCGACUUGCACCACUAUUUUGAGGCGUUUGAUGAUCCGCAAGUCGCUCUUCAGGAGGGUUGCCCGAAGGAGUUUGAGGGGCGGGAGGAUAGUUGGGCGUGGCUCUGCGCUCAUUUUCAGGCGCCCGCUUUUGUGGUAAUUUGUAAUAUGAAUUUCAAAUUUAUUAUAUAUUUCUUACUAAUGUUUAUUUAAUUUUUUAUAUUUCAUUUCAAUUUCAACUAAUACGUUUUAUUUUUUGUAUAACAGAAUAAAGCCAAAGUCAAUAAGGGCAGUAGAAAGAAGAAGACUCUUCUCCAUCAUACAGGUUCCAGGCCCUUCUCCUAUAGGAUGGAUGCACAGCAGCAGGUAAUAAUAAAAUAAUUUUUAUUUAAUUUUUAAUAUGUCAUUAUUCUUAAUUUAUUUUUUCGUAUUAAUAUUUUUCUUCUCUUGUUCAAGUUAGGGGGUCCAAAUUCCCAGAGAUCGACGUCUUUGGCGACAUUUAUGUCCGACCUGGGAAUGAGUUGGCCAAGUCCCUUCAUGUAAGUAUUAUUUAAUUUUAAUUCUUAUGUUACGCAUUCAAGUUUAAAGGUUAUUAUAUGAAUAUUUUAAUUUAUAUUUUAUGUUAUGUUAAACAGACGACGAUGGUGGAGAUGAGCCAGUUGGUUCUUCAUGAGUUCGCCUCCCAACUUCCUCCGAUACUCCGAUCGAGCCUGUGGAUCCUCCACAGGAUGUUGGGUUUCAGAUCUUGACGGAGAUAUUGGAUCACACUCUAGGGAAGAGACUCGGGACAUAUUGUCGAGGGAUAGGGAAUGCCAGGCGGAGGGAACUCAGACCCCGUUCAUCAGCAUAGUCAAACAGUUAUGUCACUGCUUUGACAGCACAGGUGGCCACUCUUUAGAGUCAGAUGUCGGUCAUUCUGCAGUCCCUCAAACAGUCCGUCAUUCUAGUCCCGCAUUUUGAUGCCCCGACCUCUGAGCCCAUCCAUCCAGAGCAUCCCCAUCAGACGACGGCCCAUGUAGACCCCCAGACCUCUGAACCGCAUGUGCCAUACGACAAUGUAGAUUUUGGAACAUUAUUUCAUUAGUUUUUUUUAUUUUCAUAAUUAUUUUUUAAAUAUUUCUCUUGUAGUAUACAUUUAUUUUAUUUUAUAUAAUAAAUGUGUUCUUUACAAUUCAUUUUUUUAUUGGAAUUUCAUUUUAUUACCAAAAAAAAAAAAAGAAAUAAUCCGUCGAAUCCUACACGUUUCUAAAAUUAUCUCGAAUAACAUAUCUAAAAUUGAUUACGAUUCAACGGCUCAACAGUAUUGAACCCGAUAAUCGCACAAUAAGGAAAAUCCGUUCGAGGCUCAAACGGUAUCCAAAUUGAGAUCUGUGAAUUCCUACGCGCUCAUGACGACCUAAGGAUCGCAUCAGAACAUAGUGUCACUGCACCACACUCGGCUACGCGCCGGCAGCGAUGGGUGUCCAAAGCGAUAACGCAUCGCCGGAAAAUCGCAAAAGCAAGGCUCCAAACUCCUAUCCUAGGUAUAACACCAUAUUUGGAGCCACUUUUGUUCUUGGACCAACCCCAAAAACUGACCGGAAAUGGCCGAACACGGAGGCCGAAAGUCGGCCGAAUUUCCAAUUUGAAAACUGAGCUAGCUACGGUGAAAAUCAAUGCAAACCUACCCAACCAUCAGCUAGAGCAUGGAAAAUAGAUAGAAAUCCAUACCUUACUCGACAAAGUUGGAGGAGAAUUGAAGGAGAACGAACAGUUGAAAGUUUUGACAAAACUGAUCGGUUUUCUGCAAAUUCCGGCAACGUCAGCGGCGGAGGGGAGCGGCUGAGGGCUGAGACGUGUAGAGGAGGACGAGCUGGUUCUUUUGGGACCUUUGCCGACGGAAUUGAUGGCCGGCCGUGGUGGUGGCGAGGAGAAGAAAAAUCGGCUGGGGAGGAGGAGGUUUCGCGCGACGGGAGAGAGGGAGAGAGAGAGAGAGAAACAGGUUUUAUAAAAUCUGAUUUUUCAAUUUACCAUUUUGCCCUUUGUGAUAUUUUAAUCGUAUUUUCUUCGUUAAAGCUCCGAUUCGAGCUCACUUAGUGUCUACGAACUCAUUUCGUCGUGCUCUACGCAACUGUGUAUGUGGAAUUAUCAAAUUCCUUUUCGGUCAAAAAGUCAACUUUGAGGUCAUAAUUUAGUCAAAGGGCAAAAUUGUCUUUCUGCAUAAUAAAUUACUAAUUAAAUAUGAAUUUUAGGUUUGGGUCAUUACAAUAAACAAACAAGUUUGACGGUUGGAUUGGUGAAACUAGUUUCGUAGAAUGCGUAUGCCAUCAAAACAAUAUAUUCACUAACAAUUAAGAGUUUAUUUAUAUUUUCGUUAAAUGUAACAUAAGAUUUUGUGGUAUCCACUAGUGUAAAUAUUGUAAAUUGAAGAUUAAAUUCAGUCAUUGUAUUCAUAUAGGGUCAAGGAGUAUAGCUGUAAAAAAAAAAACUCAAAAUCGGAGUUAAAAUAACUGCUAAAUCGUGAUUUUUCAUUUAUAACUGUCAAAAAGUUUUGUCUCCUUACUUGAUCUCUGAAUGUUCAUUUUUUUCGAUUUUUGGUGUAUAUGAUCUCGAAGUAUAAACAAACAAGUUUGAUGGUUGGAUCGCUGAAACUAGUUUUGUAGAAUGCGUAUGCCAUCAAAACAAUAUAUUCACUAACAAUUAAGAGUUUAUUUAUACUUUCGUUAAAUAUAACAUAAGAUUUUAUGGUAUCCACUAGUGUAAAUAUUUUAAAUUGAAGAUCAAAUUCAAUCAUUGUAUUCAUAUAGGGUCAAGGACUGUAGCUAUAAAAAAUCAUCAAAAUUGGAGUUAAAAUAACAGUUAAAUCGUGAUUUUUCAUUUAUAACCAUCAAAAAGUUUUGUUCCGUUACCAGAUCUUUCAAUGUUUGUUGUUUGCGCUUUUUGGGAUAUACGAUCUUGAAGUAUAUAUAAACAAGUUUGACGGUUGGAUUAUAUAUAUAUAUAUUAAGUAGCUUUAAAUUUAUUUAUUUUGUAUGUAGAACACUUAAGAAAUUGAAUAGUAUAUAUAUUUAUUAAGUAGCUUUAACCUUAUUUAUAUUUUAAAUCGUAAAAUAAAAUAAUUUUAUUUUUUAUUAUUCAUAACAAUUAUUUUUAUAAAUAUUGUGCUACGAACUAAUUUCUCGUUUCUCAAAAGUUUGCGCGACCAACAGUUUGUCAUGCAAAACUCUAAAAAUUUGGGCGGGUACCAAAAAUGGGACCUGAGAGUUUUUAAUUUUUUAAGUAUUUUUUUUUAGAGUUUGCGCCACCAAUAAUUUUCGUUGCGCAAAACUUUAAACAUUUGGGCGGGUACCAAAAAUAGGACAAGGGAAUUUUUUUUAUAAUGUUUUUUAGACUUUGCACGACCAAUAUUCCAAUAUUUUUCGUCGCGCAAAGUGAUACGGUUUUUAAAACCAAAAUAACUCCACCAUUUUCUCAAUGUCUUUCUCUACUCUUAUCUCUCCUCUCUCUUUCACUCUUCCCAAAUCUCACCCUUUCUCUCACUCUCACUCACUCUCUCAUCUCUCUCUCACUAUCUUCUGUAGUUCUCUCACACUCACUUCUCCCUCUCAUUCUCACUCACUCUCAAUCUUGCCAAAAGGUAUAUUCUCUCUAAAUUAUAAAUUUUUUUCAUUAAUAUGUGUUUUUGGAGUUAGUUUUGAGUUUGUGUGGGGUUUGGGGUUGAGUAUAGGGUGAGGAUUGGAGUUUGGGUUGGAUUUGUGGUAUAACAAUUUUAUGGGAGAUUAUGCCAAAUUUUUUAUUUUUUUUUGUUAUUUGACCAUAUUUGUUUUUUUUUUUUUGGUAGGGAAUCAUCGAGACUUUGACAGCUAAAGUGGAGGAUUAGGAUGCUAUCGAAACAUAUCCUCCGCCAAUACCACCACAAUAGGCUUGUAUUAGGAUUUUAUCAUUGUACUUUAUUAAUUUAUGUGUACAUUUUGAAUAUUAUAUAUAUUUAUUGGAUAAUUUCAUCACUAUUUUUCAUAUAUAAUUUUAUUUGAAUAAGUCAAUUUAAAUUAAAGUAAUUAAAAAAUAUCAUACAAUUAAAUUAAAUUUAAAAAGUAAAAAUUUGAAAAAAUUAAUAUCAAUUUAAAUUAAAGUAAUUAAAAAAAAUCAUACAAUUAAAUUAAAUUUAAAAAGUAAAAAUUUGAAUAAAUUAAUAUUAAAGAAAUAAUAAAACAAAAAAUCAAAAACCUUGCGCGACAAAAUAUUUCGUCGCGCAAACUAUUAAAUUAGUUUAUUUUAAUUAAAAAAUUUUAAAACACAAAAAAUAUUUCGUCACCGAAAUAUUUGCGUGACGUUAUAGUAUUCGUCGCGCAAAACUCUAAAAAUUUGGGUGGGUACUAAAAAUGGGACUCGGGAAUUUUAGACUUUGCGCGACCAAUUUUUUUGUUGCGCAAAACUUUGCGCUACCAAUACUUUUCGUCGCGCAAAACUUGCACGACCAAUGAAAAAACUUGGUCUCGCAAAGUCUUUUUUCACGAUCUUUGCGCUACGGAUUAUGCGCGAUGAAGUUUCUGACGCGCUGAAAUUUGUGCAACUAAAAUGUACUUUGAGCGACGAAAUUCUCUUCGCCUCGCAAAUUGUAAAAUGUAGUAGUGUAGGCGAGUAGCAAAGGAUAAACUAUCAAAAUUAAAGGUAGGUUACGGGAACCAAAUUAUUGUAAAAUUUGAUUAGUAAAGAUUUAAAAGUAUGUUAGAUUGAUAAUGAAAAAUUGAAAGAUCAAUUACAGAGAAACGGCUAGCGCAAGUGGUCUUCAUUGUUGCAUGUCUUCCUUAUAUGUGCAUAUUCUGUCUGUAAUUCUCUAUUUCAUGAUUGAUUUGAUUAUCAGUUUUUAUCCUCUGUGUUUGUUGGGAUGUUAAUUAAGUUUAGUGCUUUUGCAAAUUAUUGGUUCAUCCUUUCAAUUUAUAUGAUAUGAAUGUGUCCUGUAGUAUGCGUAUUUUAGAUUUCUUAUUUGACGAUUUAUGAGCUGAAAUGGGAUGUGCCACAAUUUGGUGCAUACGUGCCGCCACUAAGCUGUGGUUUUAUUUGAUAUUUGUGGAAGUUUUGCAACACAUUUAUAGAUUCGUACGUAGUGACCUUUAAGAAUGAAAAUUUCCUUUUAUGGCAACACAUAACAAAUACCAGUGUAGCUUGCAGGGCUUGGAUUGUGCAUCAAGUACUGAAGAGCUUGGAUUGUGCAGCAAGUACUGAAGUUGUUGUGGCACUGGAACACCAAGGAGUUUGUAAGUGAAAGGAGCUGCCAGCAAAGGGCUAAUCUUUGGUAGUUUUCUCUCCUUUCACUUGGUUCCAUUUUAAGUUUUAACUUUUUUGUAAAAAUCUUUAUUGUAAAUUUGUUACUUUAAAUCCUUAAUUUUAGGAUUAGUUAUGGUUUAUUUUUGUACCUUAUAAUGAAUUGAGAUGUGGACAAUGAAUGUGUUUCUUCCUUCAUAGUUGUGCUUAAAAUGAUAUUUCUCUUGAUAUCUUUUCUUUGGUAUAUAGGUGACAUGAAGCAGAAACAGGGAAGGAAAUCUCAUAUGAAAUGGGUAUUUUAUGUUGGAGGUUAGGUUUGUUUUAUGAUUUUUUAUGUUAGAUUUCAUACUAAAUCAAUUUGAAAGGUUCUCCUGAAGACUAUAUGAAUUUCUUUUUAAGUUUUUAUGGUUAUAACACAUUAAUUUUUUUUUUUUUCUCAUCAGUUCUUUCAACUUUAUUUUGCUAAUUCAGUGAGAGUAGUUGUCAAAGACGGCAUCAAAGCUUAGCAAAUUCUAUGCUUGAUGGGGUUGAAAUUACGAUCUGAUCAGUGAUAGGAUUUUUGGUUAAAUCCCAAGCAGGGAAUGCAUUCUUUGCCAUAGUUCCCAGACAGGUCCUCUUGGCUUCCCUUGAUGCUAUCAGUAAGUUGAUUAGGGUUAUAUAACCUAUAGGUGUUUAUAGGUUAUUUCUGCUUUUAUAGUUUACUUCUCCAUUAGAUUAACAUACUACUACAUUUUACACUUUGCGCGACGAAGAGAAUUUCGUCGCGCAAAAUACAUUGUAGUCGCACAAAUUUCAGCGCGACAGAAACUUCGUCGCGCAGAAUCCGUCGCGCAAAGAUCGUGAAGAAAGACUUUGCGCGACGAAGUUUUCCUUGGUCACGCAAAGUGACUUUGCGCGACGAAAAAAUAUUGGUCGCGCAAAGCGACUUUGCGCGACGAAAAAUAUUGGUCGCGCAAAGUGACUUUGCGCGACGAAAAAUAUUGGUAGCGCAAAGUUGUGCGCGACGAAAUACAUUGGUCGCGCAAAGGUUUGAGCGACGAAAUAUAUUGGUCGCGCAAAGUUUUGCGCGACGAAAAACAUUGGUCGCGCAAAGUCUAAAAAAAAUUUUACAAAAAUAAAAAAUUCCCGCGUCCAAUUUUUGGUACCUGCCCAAAUUUUUUGAGUUUUGCGCGACGAAUACUAACGUCGCGCAAAUAUUUGAGCGACGAAAUAUUUUUUGUUUUAAAUUUUUUUAAUUUAAAAUAAACUAAUUUAAUAGUUUACGCUACGAAAUAUUUUGUCGCGCAAGGUUUUUGACUUUUUGUUUUAUUAUUUCUUUAAUAUGAAUUUAUUUAUAUGAAUUUUUUCAAAUUUUUACUUUUUAAAUUUAAUUUAAUUGUAUAAUUUCUUUUUAAAAUUACUUUAAUUUAAAUUGAUAUUAAUUUUUACUUUUUAAAUUUAAUUUAAUUGUAUGAUUUUUUUAAUUACUUUAAUUUAAAUUGACAUAUUCAAAAUAAAAUUACAUAUGAAAAAUAGUGAUUAAAUUAUCCAAUAAAUAUAUAUAUAAAAUAUUCAAAAUGUACACAUAAAUUAACAAAGUACAAUAAUAAAAUCCUAAUACAAGCGUAUUGUGGUGGUAGUGGCGGAGGAUAUGUUUUGAUAGCUUCCUAAUCCUCAACUUUAGCCGUCAAAGUCUCGAUGAUUCCCUACAAAAAAAAAAAAAACAAAUAUGGUCAAAUAAACACAAAAAAAAGAAGAAGGCAUAAUCUCCCCUAAAAUUGUUAUACCACAAAUCCAACCCAAACUCCAAUCCCUCCCCUUUACUCAACCCCAAAACCCACACAAACUCAAAAUUAACUCCAAAAACACAUAUUAAUGAAAAAAAUUUAAAAUUUGGAGAGAAUAUACCUUUUGGCAAGAUUGAGAGUGAAUGAGAGUGAGAGGGAGAAGUGAGUGUGAGAGAAUUAGAGAAGAUAGUGAUAGAGAGAUGAGAGAGUGAGUGAGAGAGAUGAGAGAGAGUGAGAGAUAGUGAAGAGAGAGAUGAGAGAUUAAGUGAGAGGAGUGAGUGAGAGAAAUGGUGGGAUUUGGGGAGAGGGAAAGAGAAAGGAGAGGUAAGAGUAGAGAAAGGCAUUGAGAAAAUGGUGGAUGAGUUAUUUCGGUUUUAAAAACCGUAUCACUUUGCGCGACGAAAAAUAUAGUUGGUCGCGCAAAGUCUAAAAAAUUGUUUAAAAAAAAUAAAAAUCCCCGCGUCCCAUUUUUGGUACCCGCCAAAAUUUUUAAAUUUUUGCGCGACGAAAAAUACAUAUUGGUCGCGCAAAGUCUAAAAAAAUUAUUUAAAAAAAUAAAAAUCCCAGCGUCCCAUUUUUGGUACCCGCCAAAAUUUUUAAAUUUUUGCGAGACGAAAAAUAUAUAUUGGUCGCGCAAAGUUUUGAGUGACAAAGAAUAUUGGUCGCGCAAAGUCUAAAAUUUUUUUAUUUUUUUUUUAAAAUCCCGCGUCCCAUUUUUGGUACCCAUCCAAAUUUUUAGAGUUUUGUGCGACAAACUGUUGGUUGCGCAAACUUUUGAGAGACGAAAAAUUGGUUCGUAACACAAUAUUUAUAAAAAUAAUUGUUAUGAAUAAUAAAAAUAAAAUUAUUUUAUUUUACAAUUUAAAAUAUAAAUAAUGUAAGAUCCCACAUCAACCAACGGAGAGGGGGUGAUGUGCCUUAUAUGUGCGCACCCGCAUCCAUCUAGCACGAGGCCUUUUGGGAGCUCACUGGCUUCGGAGUCGUAGGAACUCCGAAGUUAAGCGAGUUGGGGGCUAGAGCAAUCUCAGGAUGGGUGACCCACUGGGAAGUUGCUCGUGAGCUCCCAGAAACAAAACCGUGAGGGCAGAGAGGGGGGCCCAAAGCGGACAAUAUCGUGCUACAGCGGAGCCGAUCCCGGGAUGUGACAAAUAAGGUUAAAGCUGCUUAAUAAAUAUAUAUACUAUUCAAUUUCUUAAGUGUUAUACGUACAAAAUAAAUAAAUUUAAAGCUACUUAAUAAAUAAAUAUAUAUACACACACCAUUCAACGAUCCAACCAUCAGACUUAUUUGUAUAUACUUCAAGAUCGUAUACCCCAAAAAUCGCAAAAAACAAACAUUCAGAGAUCUAGUAACGAGACAAAACUUUUCGAUGGUUAUAAAUGAAAAAUUACGAUUUAACGGUUAUUUUAACUCCGAUUUUGAUGAUUUUUUUUACAGCUACAUUCCUUGACCAUAUAUGAAUACAAUGACUGAAUUUGAUCUUCAAUUAAAAAUAUUUACACUAGUGGAUACCAAAAAAUCUUAUGUUAUAUCUAACGAACGUAUAAAUAACCUCUUAAUUGUUAGUGAAUAUAUUGUUUUGAUGGCAUAUGCAUUCACCAAAACUAGUUUCAACGAUCCAACCGUCAAACUUGUUUGCUUAUACUUCGAGAUCAUAUACGCCAAAAAUCAGAAAAAAUAAACAUUCAGAGAUCAAGUAAUGGGACAAAACUUUUCGACGGUUAUAAUGAAAAAUCACGAUUUAACGGUUAUUUUAACUCCGAUUUUGAUGAUUNNNNNNNNNNNNNNNNNNNNNNNNNNNNNNNNNNNNNNNNNNNNNNNNNNNNNNNNNNNNNNNNNNNNNNNNNNNNNNNNNNNNNNNNNNNNNNNNNNNNCGACUGAAUUUGAUCUUCAAUUUAAAAUAUUUACACUAGUGGAUACCACAAAAUCUUAUGUUAUAUUUAACGAACGUAUAAAUAAACUCUUAACUGUUAGUGAAUAUAUUGUUUUGAUGGCAUAUGCAUUCACCAAAACUAGUUUCAACGAUCCAACCGUCAAACUUGUUUGCUUAUACUUCGAGAUCAUAUACGCCAAAAAUCAGAAAAAAUAAACAUUCAGAGAUCAAGUAAUGGGACAAAACUUUUCGACGGUUAUAAUGAAAAAUCACGAUUUAACGGUUAUUUUAACUCCGAUUUUGAUGAUUUUUUACAGCUACACUCCUUGACCCUAUAUGAAUACAAUGACUGAAUUUGAUCUUCAAUUUAAAAUAUUUACACUAGUGGAUACCACAAAAUCUUAUGUUAUAUUUAACGAAUGUAUAAAUAAACUCUUAAUUGUUAGUGAAUAUAUUGUUUUGAUGGCAUAUGCAUUCACCAAAACUAGUUUCAACGAUCCAACCGUCAAACUUGUUUGCUUAUACUUCGAGAUCAUAUACGCCAAAAAUCAGAAAAAAUAAACAUUCAGAGAUCAAGUAAUGGGACAAAACUUUUCGACGGUUAUAAUGAAAAAUCACGAUUUAACGGUUAUUUUAACUCCGAUUUUGAUGAUUUUCUACCAGCUACACUCCUCGACCCUAUAGAAUACAAUGCCGAAUUUGAUCUUCAAUUUAAAAUAUUACCUAGGUGGAUCCCACCAAAUCUUAUGUUAUAUUAACGAAUGUAUAAAUAAACUCUUAAUCGUUAGUGAAUAUAUUGUUUUGAUGGCAUAUGCAUUCACCAAAACUAGUUUCAACGAUCCAACCGUCAAACUUGUUUGUUUAUACUUCGAGAUCAUAUACGCCAAAAAUCGGAAAAAAUAAACAUUCAGAGAUCAAGUAAUGGGACAAAACGUUUCGACGAUUAUAAUGAAAAAUCACGAUUUAACGGUUAUUUUAACUCCGAUUUUGAUGAUUUUUUACAGCUACACUCCUUGACCCUAUAUGAAUACAAUGAACUAAUUCGAUCGUCAAUUUAAAAUAUAUAUUUUCUAACAAAAACCCAAUCUGAACAACAAUAAUAUAUUUUUCUAACAAAAAUCCGAUCCGAUCUAAAAUAAUAAAUUUAAAGCUACUUAAUAAAUAUAUAUACUGUUUAAUUUCUUAAGUGUUAUGCAUACAAAAUAAAAAACAAAAAUAAAUUAGUUUAGGCGACGAAAUGUUUGGAUUACGUCAUGCAAAGAUUUUAAAAAAUAUAUAUUUUAUUUUUAUAAGGACUUUGCGCGACGAAUUUUUUUUCGUCGCGCAAGACUUUGAGCGACGAUGUAUUGUCGUCGCGCAAAAUUUUAUCGCGCGAAGUGACUUUGCGCUACGAAUUGUUUUUCGUCGCGCAAGACUUUGAGCGACGAAGUUUUGAGUUUCGUCGCGCAAAGUGACUUUGAGCGACGAAUAAUUUUUCGUCGCGCAAAAUUUGGUCGCGCAAGGGGUUUUUUUUUACUAGUGAUAGCCUAUAAAUGGCAAUACAUGUAUCAGUUUUGACCAUGGGUAUCUACAGAUAAUCUAUUCUUUUGUAGAUAAUCUAUUCUUUUGUACAACAAACUUGCACAUGGUUUGAUUCUGUAUAUGGGUAUUUGGUUUGAUUCUAUUAAAGUCUGGGUCUUUUAGUUUCAUUCUGUUAUAGUUAUUUAAUAAUUUGUGGUAAUGACAGACUAUACUUUUGUCCACCACAUUCAUAGAAUGCUUGGCGUAUUUUAAAUUGUGGUUUGUGCAGUUGAUUUUUUAGCCUUAAUUCUGUAAUAAUAGCCAUUGUCUUCACUAAAUUUUCCCAUUUGUCUACACUAACACCUACCAGUUUCCAAAUUUGUAGCAACAGAAUAAACACCCAUUGAUUUGAUGCUAUUAAAGCUCGAGUGUUUUCGCUGAAUUCUCUCAUACCUAUUUAAUAAGUUGUCACAAUUGUUCUAAGUAAGUUAACAAUUGAUUAAAUAGGCUGAAGUUAUACUUUUGUCCAUCAGAUUAAUAGAUGUACCUAAACUGUUGUUUGUCCUGUUGGAUUUUUUAACUUAAUUUUGUGAUGAUAGUUAGUCUUCGCCUAAAUUUUUUCCAUUUAUCUACACUAACACCUGUCAUUUUCCAAAUGAAUAAUGCUACUCUUACCACAUUUGUAUACCACAUCCUUAUACUUUCUUAUGUGGCAGCUGAGGUAGACAACCACAUCAAUUAAAAUUGUUUAAUAUUUUCUUUUCUUUUAUGAUUUAUUGCAAUAUUUAUUUUUCUAAUUGUCUUAAUUAAAAUACACUUCAUUUAUUUAAUUGAUGUGGCAUAUAAUAUGGACAUGCCACAUCUCAUGUGGUAUAAUUAUGUGGGAUAAAAAUGUGGUAAGUGUAGCAUUUACACUUGCAAAGGACAAGAAAGAAUGGAAGCCACCUCUAUAGCAAAGCCAUCAAGAGAAAGAUCCCCUUCCAACAAACGUCAAGGCAGAAAAUCCCCUUCAACCACCCAAUAGCAUAUAUAUAUAUAUAAAGACCUGUCCAAACUCUUUUGAACAAUGAACAUCUUAAAAUUGCAGAUAUUUUGAUGCUAUUUUGAUGUUUUGAUUGCUGCUUGGUUUAUUAAAAUAUGAUCAAUAUUUUAACAUGACAAGCAGCAUAUAAAACAUGUUAUUAGUCUAUUUUUUGUAACUUAAACUUGCCAAACAAAGCAUGAUGCUACUAUUUAGAUCUCGAUGUUUGUAUAAAUAGUACCAUCUUUCAUAUAUUUUUUCACGAUUUUGUACACAUUUCACACGGUUUUAAAACCCAUAGCAUCGCGCGAGCGCUUUUGCUAGUGCUCUCUAAAAACAUAACUAGGGGCCUAAGAGCAUCUAGGAAUUCUUGCAAGCUUAGUGGAAGGAAAAUAGUUUUGAUGAUGUUGGUUGGCUCAUGAGCCUCAACGGCCAAUUCAGCUUUUAGCUCUCAUUAGCCCACAUCCUUUUCUUGUAACAUGUCUUCGUUUUUUAGCCAUGGUGAUUUUUACCGAAGAAGCCGUGCAGCAAUUUGCAGAGGCUAAAUCACUGUCAAAGACUUGCUGCUCCAGUCUAAAUCACUGGACUGGUGAGAGCAACAGCACAAGAACCGAGCUGCUAAUUGAAAAUCAAUUAAGCAGAAUAAGCAGCAAAAGCAUAAAAAGAUGGAAAACGUACAAAACAUGACACCUUUAAUUAACUUGCAGUUGAGUAAGCCAGUGCGAAAGUCCAGGCAUAAACAGAAUAAAGCAUCAUUGCUGAAUUUUCACACACACGGAUAUGAUAUCCUUAUUCAAAUAGUUUCUUGCAGCUCAUUAACUCUAUCUUGCGUAUCGCUAGCUCAUUCUUCUCUUCUUCUUCUCAAAUUGAGAUAGGAGUCCCUAGCUGCCCUCAGUUUGUUGACAACAACAUCCAUUUGCACCCGCUCAGUCCUCCAAUCUUGUGGCUUGGAUAGGGCCUCCAUGCUGAUAGCUUGUGGUUCGUCUGGUUCGUAUUUCACUUUCGUAUCUUUCCCUAUCACCAUGUGCAUCAUUUCUUUCAAUGAGCAAUGAAGGGUCAAUUAUGUCCAUGACAUGGUCAGGCAUUGUGAUUGCUGUGAAUUGGUGAAUGGUGAGACCAUCUUUGAACAUGUCAUCUGUAGGUCUUUUUCCAGUGAACAUUUCUAGCAACAGUAUUCCAAAGCUAUAAAUAUCUCCCAGAAUGGAAACUUGGCCUCCCAUGCCAUACUCUGUCAUUCAAUUCAUGCAUUAUGAUGUCACACUCAAAUCAUUUACAACUUACAUCUCAUUUCGAUUAUCUGUCUUUUGUUUUAUUGGAAGAGACUUAAUAAGUUGGCUUAGUCAUAAACUUAUUAGGUAGAGAGAAAAAGGGAAUGAUACCUGGAGGAAUGUAGCCUAUCGAACCCCUUAACCCAGCCGACAUGGUUUGACUUUGGGAGUAAUUAUCUGAUGCUUCCAAGAGGAACCUUGCUAAACCAAAGUCACCAACAUGGGCUACCAUAUCUUCACCAAGAAGAACAUUGCUUGGCUUUAGAUCACAAUGAAUAAUCUAAUGCAGAAGCAACGUCAGUCGCAAUAUUGAGUCUUUGGAUAAGGCUCAAUCUCUUACUAUGAGUUUGAGGUUGUUCAUCAUCUCUAGGAUGCAGCUCGAGCAUGCAGUAAUGAUCUUGAGAAGAUUACGGUGCCGUGUACUUCUUAAAGCUUUGCAUUCAUCAAUGAAACUCCUGAAAGCUCCUCGUUGUUGAAGAUUUAAUACCUUAACAGCAACUGCCCUCCCAUCACUAGGAAGUACUCCUUUGUAAACAGAACCAAAACUUCCGGAACCAAUCAAAUUGUCCACAGAGAAGCCGUUAGUUGACUCAACGAGUUCAAAGUAAGAGACUGAUUUCCAGCCCUUACAAGAAUCUGAAGUUACUAGGCCACCUCUUGACGUUUUCACCUUCGAACGAGCAACAAUGAAGCCUGACAGAGCAAUUAUGCAUGGAACUGCACAAGCUACAAGGAUGAUUAGUCGAUGAGAUGAUGAAUUGGACUUUUUGAUGGAGCAUGCAUGUAAAAGUAAUUUUGGGAGACCACCACAAACCCUAUUGUUUCCAAUAAUUGAGAGACCACUUGCAUUUGAAAAGAUCCCUUCUUUAGGCAAUUCACCUUCAAAAUCAUUAUAAGAAAGAUUGAGAUACUUAAGAAACCUGAGUUUUUCUAAAAAUUUAGGAAUCUCCCCGGAUAAGUUGUUGUGUGAAAUAUCCAUUUCUUCCAUGGUUCUUAAGAGACUCAGGAAUUGUUCUUUCAAAUUCAUUACCUUGCAUAUACAGGCGCUCCAACAUAAUACAACUGCCUAGAGUUGUUGGGAUUUCAACUGAUAACUUAUUUCCUGACACAUCCAGCUCCACAAGAUUUACCAAAUCACCCACUUCAGAUGGUAACGAACCAGUCAAAGAAUUGUUAGAAAUUCUCAAAUAAACUGAAAGGGAUGAAAUCCCAAAAAUCUCUAUAGGUAUGGUGCCUGUUAGACGGUUAUUAGAAACGUCAAGUGUGAGUAGACUUUGGCAGUUCCCAAGACUUGGAGGUAUACUUCCAUCAAACCUAUUUACGUUGAUGAAUAACUUUAUCAAUGAAGUCAAGUUACCCAGGGAGGAAGGUAUCGGCCCAGAAAAAUUGUUAAAAUUCAAAUACAAUACCUGUAACUUUUGAAGCUUCCCAAUGGCAUCAGGGACACUACCACUGAAAUAGUUGUUUUUCAUUCCAAGAAGGGCCAAGCUUGUAAGAUUCCCAAUGCCUUCAGGGAUGCUUCCAUGUAUCAAAUUUCUACCCAAAUAAAGAUAUUUUAGUUGGGUAGAUAGGUUGGCUAUGGACCUUGGCAAUUCUCCAUGGUUAUUGUCCAGACCCAAGUUCUCUAGGCCAGUACAAUUAGCCAAGAAGCUGAGAAAAUUCAAGUCACCAGCUUUCCCACUUCCCAGUCUAUUGCGACUGAAGUUUAUCCGAACUAAGCUUCGCAACCUUCCAAGAUUUUCAGCAGGGAGUGUCCCGGUCAAACCAUUUCCACCACAAUCAAGGUUCUGAAGUCUAGAAGAAUUUGACCACGACGCAGGAAUAGCUCCUGUGAAGUUGUUCAUACCACAGGUAAAAAUUUCGAGAUUGGGAAGACUAAUGCCAACAUUUGGUGGUAGCUCUCCAUGCAGGUGGUUCCCAGUAACAGCGAAAGUUGUAAUGGAAGAAAUAUUAUAGAUUGAAGAAGGGACAAUACCAAACAGAUUAUUCAAUCCAAAUGAAAAUUCCGCCAAGCGUGUCAGACGCCCGAGCUCAUUUGGUAUGCUUCCUCGAAAAUUGUUUUGGGUAAGAUAAAGACCAUGCAAAUAAGAAAAGUUUCCUAUCCAAUUUGGGAUUGCUCCAGUGAGAUUGUUUUCAUCAGCAGAUACAUAAUAUAAAUUCACCAAUGAACUGAGUUGGUUCGGAAUGGAUCCAAUAAGCUCAUUCGAAACUAAACGAAGCACUCUUAGUUGUGCACAGUGAGAUAUAUUACUUGGAAUUUUGCCGCCAAAGGAAUUCCCAGACAGGUUGAGAGAUCGCAGGCUUCGAAGACGACCUAUUUCUUGAGGAAUUUCACCAGCAAAGCUGUUGUUCACCAGGUCGAUUCCGGUAAGGCGAGAAAGAUUUCCUAUAGAUUUUGGUAAGGAGAUGAUAGUUCAAUGGCUAGGAUUAAAUCUUGUAUAGAGGCAGUUAGAGAAGAAUCUCUCUUCUCUCUCCUCAACGGUUAUAUUUGGUUGCUGGUAAUGAAAGAGCUGUAGCCUUCACUCUUCCAAUUUUUCUGUUUUUUCAUAGAAAGCAACGUCUCUCUCAUCCAUUCUCUCCCAAACACAUCCAAAUACAGACUCACAAAACUAUGAAUUCUAUCAGAGCCUGCCAAUUUUUGAGCAGUCAGCUUCAAAAUCACAACUCUUUUGGUGCAACGGUUGCAUGUAACGCCAACCCAAUUGCAGAAAUGAAGGGAAUCAUUCCUUGAGCUCAUGACAUGGAGAGGAUCUUGAGUGAUUCUUUUCUUCAUGUCCAGCAGCGCCAGACGAUCAGUUUCAUUUCCGAAAGUAUUACAACUAGGUAGAGUUGCAGAUUCCAGAGGUGUGUUCAUGCAUAAAAGAAGGAAUCCAUGAAGGAAGGUAAACAAAAUCAGCCUACCAUGAGGCUCCAUCCUUUCGUAAAUACAAAGCAAAUCUGAAAUCAAGUGUGUGUUUGUUUGUUUUUUUUUUUUCUUUUGCUUUUUCUGUCAAAAUAAAAAUCCAAGAUCCGUUUACAGGGAGGGGAUGCAAAAGAAGGACCAAAUAUUGUUACAGGAAAUUGAAGACCAAGACCAAGACCCAGACCACGGAAAAUUCUAUGAAAUACCGUCAACAACAUACUUAAAGACAAAGUUCAUAUAUUAAUGCAUAAUGUCUUCCAUGAAAUACAUUACAAUCUUGAAAUACGUUCCAAUUAGAAAAACCUUCAACCACAAUAUAAUCACUACCUGCUUGUUCUCCAAUGUUUGGUUUAAAAAGGUAGCAGCAAAGACAAAUAGCAGAAUCUGUUUCUAUACUAUAUUCCAACCAAGUAGAAAAAUCAUCAAACCAAGCAGGAAUCUUCUUAAUGUUUUUCCAAAUUGCUUGUAAGGCUACUACAUUUUACUCUUUGCGCGACGAAUAACAAAACGUCGCGCAAAGUCUUAUUUAGUCGCACUAAUUUCAGCGCGACAAAAAAAUCGUCGCGCACAUUCCGUCGCGCGAAGAUCGUGAAGAAAGCCUUUGCGCGACGAGGUAUAACCCUUCGUCGCGCAAAACUGUGGGACGGGUAAACCAUCGUUGCACCAACGGUGUGGGGACGAAACAACUGUUCGUCGCAUAAAUAUUUGCGCGACGACCAAGUAUUCGGCGCACGUAUAUUUGCGCGACGACAGGAAUAGCGCGACGAAACUUAAUUCGUCGCGCAAAACUUGUUCGGGAGACGUAUAUGUUCGUCGCAGAACCAUUCGCGCGAUGAGAAAGUUUUCGUCACAAAUAUCUUUGCGCGACGAAAAUCUCUGUCGUCGCGCAGAAUAAGUUGCGCGACGAAACAUUUCGUCACGCAAAACGUGUUUGCGAGACGUAUGUAUUCGUCGUGCAAGAAUUAAAAGUAAUAAAAAAGUUGAUUUUUUAUUUUUUUUUUUGUUACAUGUGGGUUUGCGCGACGAAAUGUUUUCCGUCGCGCAAAAAUAAUAUUACAAUUUUUUUUUUUUUUUUAUAAAUAAAAUUGGUUUUUUUUUUAUUGAUUAAACAAUGAAAUUGCAAUAAAAAUAAAUUAGAAUAAAAUUAUGUUAUAAAAUAAAAUAAAUGUAUUACAAAUAAAAUAAAUGUUUAUGAUGAAAAUAAAUACACUAAUCAAAUAAUGAAGCAAAAUCAACCGGGUCGUCGCCAGUAUGCGGCUCGGAGAUCUGGCGUCCAUCGGGGCAGUGGUCUGGUGGGCAUGCUCGGGGUGGACGGGCUGGGAGGUCGGCACAUCAAAAUGCGGGACUGGAAUGCUGGACUGUGCGAGGGACUGCAGAAUGACCGACAUCUGGCUCUGAAGAGUGGCCACCUGUGCUGUCAAAGCAGUGACCUGACUGUUCGACUGCGCUGAUGAACGGGGUCUGGGUUCCCUCUGCCUGGCAUUCCCCAUCCCUCGACAAUAUGUCCCCGGUCUCCUCCCUAGAGUCUGAUCCAAUGUCUCCGUCAAGAUCUGAAACCCAGCAUUCUGUGGAGGAUCCACAGACUCGAUCGGAGUAUCAGGAGGAAGUUGGGAGGCAGACUCCUGAAGAACCAACUGGCUCCUCUCCACCAUCGUCGUCUGUUUAGCAUAACAUAAAAUAUAAAUUCAAACACUCAUAUAAUGAACUUUAAAGUUGAAUCGUAACAUAAGAACUAAAAUUAAAUAAUACUUACAUGAAGGGACUCGGCCAACUCAUUCCCAGGCCGAACAUAAACGUCGCCAAAGACGUCGAUCUCUGGGAAUUUGGACCCCCCUAAAUUGAACAAAAGAAGACAAAUAUUAGAACGACAAAAUAAAUUAAGAAUAAUGAAAAAGUAAAAAAUUAAAUAAAAAUUAUUCUAUUAUUACCUAACGCCGUGCAUCCAUCCGAUAGGAGAAGGGCCUGGAACCCGAAUGAUGGAGAAGAGUCUUCUUCUUCCUAUUGCCCUUAUUGACUUUGGCUUUAUUCUGUUAUACAAAAAAUAAAACGUAUUAGUUGAAAUUGAAAUUAAAUAUAAAAAAUUAAAAAAACAUUUGUAAUAAAAUAAAAUAAAAUAUAAAAAAUUACCACAAAAGCGGGCGCCUGAAAAUGAGCGCAGAGCCACGCCCAACUAUCCUCCCGCCCCUCAAGCUCUUUCGGGCAACCCUCUUGAAGAGCGACUGGCGGAUCAUCGAACGCCUCAAAAUGGUGGUGCAAGUCGCUCUUCCACUGCUUGUACCUCUCAGAGAAGAGUCUGUUGACGUACGCCAACGACUCUUCGUCAAGGUCCUCCAAGUUGUAGUUCGUCUGCAAUAAAUUAAUUACAUAUAUUUAAAUAAUAUAAAAACUACGUUUGAAAGAAAAAGAAUGAAAAGGCCUACAUACCGACAACUGGCCACGAACCGCAGUCUUGGUCUCGUCAGGCAUCACCUUCCAAGACUUCCAUUGCAUCGGGCAAUAGCUCCGAAUGACAUGACCAAUGUCGUGGGCCAAGGAGCUAUGCAACUCCGCCGUCGGUGCAGCCCGAUGUCGCUCGUCGUAUCCGAUGUUGAUACGACUGUUGGUCACCCGGGUGACCUUCGCCAUCUUCAAUUGCCGACACGGCCCUCGGGUAUUCUUCUUUGCUGCAAAGAAAGAUGACAUGAAUGUUAAAUAAAA